GAACGUGUUUAUUUUGUACCAUUAAACUGAAGUUAAUCCAUAUGAAUUGUCAAUUUUGUUUAGGAUAAUAAAUAUCAAUAUUCAUUUAUUGGAACUUGUCAUUGCUUGUGCAUGAUUUCCCCCCCUCUCUCAUGUCUACUGCAAGUCUGCAAAACAAAUUUGAAUCACAAGUCUGAAUAUAGACUUACCAUUUAAGACAUGACACUGUUCAGUCCUCUAGUUUAUUGGGGGCUGCUUUCUAUUACUAACAUUGUUUGUAUCAGGCGCAAGAUGCAUUGGAGGUCUCUGGUGUUUUGGCCGUCAUGACCUUGGGGAUGUUAGUAAAGCUUGUCUUCACAUUCUGAUUUGCAUAUCCUUUGCUAUUUUCCCUCCAAUAUUAACUUUGUCAUGUCGGCAGGUUCUAUGCUGCUUUUGCAAAAACUGCUUUUAAGGGUGACAGCCAGCAAAGUUUACAUCAUUUCUGGUAUGUUCAAGCAAUAUGUGUCACCUUCUAUUGUCAGCAAAGAUCAAAUUCUCAGCAUAUGAUCGACCGUUGUAAUCUUAGUCAAAUUUAUUAUUUUUUUAUCUGUUCCCCAUGCAUCCCAUGAGUUCCAUGAAGCUGCUAAUGCUGGAUUUCUGUGAGCAUUGCCUGGAAUUCAGUAGAUUUACAUUUAAACCUUUGCGCUCUUGUAAAUGCAGUAAAUGUAAGUCAACAAGUUUGUAGUAGUCAGUUAUUCAUCUACCUGUUAAAAUCCAGAUUUGAAUAAAUUUGAAUGACAUGCAAUUUCAUCAUCAAUGCCCUGAAAUGACAUUCACAGCUUAUAUCGGAGUCUCUAAACACCAAAAUAAAUUGCAUUACAAAAAUGAUGCCUUAAAGCAUCAACCAAUUUAUCAUUUGGUGCAAGAUGCUCGUAUCACAUCAUACAAUGUACGUUGUGAUCCUUCAGUUCACAGUAAAUUAGGCAUUACUAUGAAUUCUCAUUUAAGCCAUCAUAUAAUGGGCUUAUUUAUUCUUUUGGAGUGUCUUUGUAAUCGUAUCUUGUCUGAGGGCCUAAGUGCAAACCUCUUGUAAAAAGAUAUGCGCUCUUCAUGUUGGAGACACACAUGAUUUCUCCUAUUCACGCUAGAUUCUCUUACGUUUUUUGUGAUGUGUGCACUUCAUGUCUGAUUACUGUUUCUACUUGUAUUCAGGGAAAUGGUUGCUUACAUUGCAAACACACUUAUUUUCAUACUGAGGUAUAGGCAACUUUGAACUUUCCUCGCAAAAAAUAAUUUCUGGUACUUCUGUUUUUGCCUGGCUAGACUAUACCAUGCUUGCUUUUGUUUGGUAAGAUUAAUGCUUCAGAUAUGGGUACUGUCACAAUGUUUCAUACAUCUGAACUCCCUUCAGUGGGGUUGUUAUUGCAGAUGGUGUACUACAAGAUAAUAUUCAUUUUGAGAGGCAUGGUAUGAAUCUUGAUGUAUCUCUAUCUACUCUUCAUUUUUUUUAAACGGCUAUGUAAGCAUUUCUACUAGUCUUUUGCAACCUUUGUGUUUGUUUUCUGUUGCCAUGUGUGAAGUUGUCUCCAUUGAUCGUGAUAUCGCAAAACCUCAAAAAAUAACAUAGUUCAAAAAGGCGCUAGGAGUUAAUUGUGUGUUUUGCCACCACCUUGCGCUUUUCUGACCAAAGCGCACGGUUAUGCGCGAAUUAAGCGCAAUUAUGCGCUAGGCGUUUUGCUAUUGCCUAGAGCCUAGACACACUUAAGUGGUCGCUUUAGUGCACCUUUUUUAACUAUGAAAAAUAAUAAUACAAAACCACAUAUAUUUGGAAUGUAUCAUGUGCACUUUAUUGAACUUCCGGACGACAAUAUAAAGUUGGUGGAGUGUAUUGACUCCAGGAAACCUCCAUUUAUUUGAUUUAACGAUGCACAAAGCCAUAAAGCAGACCUUUCUUACUUGAAUAAAACUAGACCUUUGACCUUAGAACACUAACAGGUCAGAGUUUAAAUUUUAUUUUUAAAAGUUUUUUUUUCGUAGAAAACGCAGAGAUGUGCGUUUCUUUGUAUUGAAAAGAGGGAAAGUCAGUCUCAGAGGAGACGAUUACAGCAGGUUACAAGCAGUUUCAGUGAACAUCCCAGGAUGGGGGCAAGACUACCCUAAGCCCCUUGUCCCCGGCUCUAGCCCAACACCUCAUCUCAUCUUUGAUCCCAUCCGAGAGCUCGGAGAACGACGGAGUGGCAUGAUAAAAAACGCACGCAUUCCUAUGUUUCCAGAUCAUCCAUGGAACUAGCAGCGUGGUGGACCUCAGCGCCUUGCGGAGUGAUGGUGGGGUUGCAUCUCUCGCCCUAAUCCACCAAUCCUGAAUGGAGAUAUCCUGCUCCAGUGUGUGGGCUGGUAAGCGCAGCCAGGAGAGAGCCUCGUGCCAGGCUUGCCGCGCGAAGGGGCAGGCCAGCAGCAGGUGGUGGAUGGUCUCUGGCUCUUGGUCGCAAAGCAGGCAGCGGGCGUGAUGUGGGAGGCCUCGGCGAGCAAGUCUGUCCGCUGUCCAGCAUCGGUCCAGGUUCGCAAGCCAGUGGAAGAACUUAACCUUCGGCGGAGCCCAUCCCUUCCAGAUUAACUGCCAGGAAUGGCAAGUGAUGGAUCCGUGGAAGGUUGCCUGAUAGCAGGAUCGCGCCGAGUAUUCUCCAUUGGCAGUCCAUUUCCAGACAAGCUUGUCUGGCUCAGCGGACAAGGUGGUGUGCGUGACGCGCUGCCAUGUCGCUAGGUAUUGGCCAACCUCUUGCAGCCCCAUGACGCCGCGGAUGUCACGGGCCCAGGCAUUGCCGGCAAGGCCUUCCGCCACCGUCCGCACCCUUCUCCUGUUCUUGGGGAUGCAUAAGUACAGCAGGGGUGCUAUCUCGCGAAUCGACUGCCCAUGCAGCCAGCGAUCUUCCCAGAACAGCGCCGUGUGGCCAUCACCUAGCACCAUGAAGGUGGAGGCGUGGAAGAGGCCAAUCUCCUCAGGGGAGAACUGCAGGUCCAGGCCUUGCCAGGCUCUGUCGGCGUCCGUCCUGGAUAACCAGAGCCAUCGCAGGCGGAGCGCGAGCCCUGUGCGCUCAAGAUCUCGGAUGCCCAGCCCUCCAAGCGCGAGUGGCCGGCUGACCGUGCGCCAAUUAACGUGGCAGUGCCCUCCUUGUGUAGCCGCGCGGCCAGCCCAAAGGAAGCCCCGCUGAAUCUUCUCUAGUUGCUUCAGGGUUUUCUUUGGGGGCGCAAGGGCAAGCAUCUGGUGGAUUGGAAUUGCGCUGAGGACCGAUUUGACCAAUGCCAACCUCCCAGCUUUGUUCAUGAGCCAAGCUUUCCAUGUCGGGAGGCGGCCAGCCACAGAAUCGACGAGCGACUGCAUCUGAGUCGCAGUGGGUCGCCUGGUGGAAAGCGGUAUGCCCAGGUAGGUGAUGGGCAGGUUUGCCGCCUGGCAGCCCAACUCCUCCAGCAAGGCAGCGCUAUCCUCGUCGCCAUGCAGGAUCGUGGCCGAGCUCUUGCCAUAGUUGACCUGCAAGCCCGUCGCGGCCUCAAAAAUGCCUAGAAUGCCCUUCACCGCGAGCACCUCUUCCAUCUCAGCAUGGCAAAACAGCAUCACGUCAUCGGCGUAUAAAGAGACGGCCGGAACUGUACGGCGGGGGUGCAGCCGCCGGAGUAUGCCGGUCUGGAGCGCCCGAUGCAUGAGGCGUCCCAGCGCGUCGACAGCGAGGACAAAUAGCUGUGGCGAUGUGGAGUCCCCUUGGCGCAGCCCGCGGCGGUGCCAAAUCGAGGGGCCAGGCACGCCAUUGAGCAUGACCCGCGUGCUGGACGAGGAAAGGAGGAUGGCUAUCCACUCCCUAAACCUGUCCCCGAACCCAUAUUGGCGCAGCAUCUCGAAGAGGAACGGCCAUGAUAUGGAGUCAAAAGCCCGCGUGAGAUCGAGCUUGAGCAUGAUGCACGGGGCGCCCAAGUGGUGAAGCAUCCGAAGGGACUGCCGAACGAGCAUGAAGUUGUCGUGGAGGGAGCGUCCGGCAAUGAAUGCGUUCUGGUUGCGGCUGACUAGGCUAUCCAGCUUGGGGGCGAUGCGCAGCGACAGAACCUUCGCGAAUAACUUGGCCAUAAUGUGGAUCAGGCAAAUAGGCCGGUAGUCACCCAGCUUAUGUGCAUCUGCGCGCUUUGGCAGCAGGGUCAGGAGGGCUUGGUUGAGUUUACCAAACCCUCUCCCACGAAGCAGGAAUAACUGCUCGAAGACAUCCAGGAUGUCCUGCCUGAUAGUGCUCCAACAGGCCCGCAAGAACUCUGCGGUGAACCCGUCUGGCCCUGGUGCCUUGUGCGCCGGCAUACGCCGCACCACAGCCCAAAUCUCAUCAGGGGUGAAGGGCGCAUCCAGGCUGCCAAGGUCACUGGCCGUGACGAGCUGCUCGAGAUCCAGAGUGUGCUCACGGUCCACGGCGGUGCCCAGCAACCCGUCGAAGUGCGCGAAUGCCGCUUGGGCCAUCUCCUCAUGGUCGCAUAGCACAUGCCCGUCAACUAGGAGGCUAUGCACGCGGUUCUUCUGGAUCCUGAACGUACACUACCUGUGAAAGAAGCUCGUGUUGGCGUCGCCCUCGGCCAGGAAGGAGAUGCGGGCGCGCUGCCGCGCGAUGGUGCGCUCAAGGGAGGCCAGCCCAAGGUACGCCACCUUGAGCUGCUUGCGCAGCCAAUCCUCAGCCGGGGAGAGCAGACGGCUCUCCAUAGCGUGGUCGAAGCGGGCGAUCAGCUCGCGGGAUAUAGCCAAUUUGUCCCGGACGUUGCCCGUGGACCUAGCGCUCCAGCUCGUAAGGGCGCGGGCAGUAGCCUGCAGACGCCGGACCAACCUCUGGAAGGGGUCGGGGUCAUGCACGGAGCUCCAGCCCGCGGCGACUGUGUCGUGGAAUCCGUCAAGGCGGAGCCAGAAGGCCUCGAAGCGGAAGCGUCUGUGGGCCGUGGGCAUGGGGGAGCAAUCCAGCAGCAGGGGGCAAUGAUCGGACACGACGGAUGCAAGGCAUCGGAGGUGGCACUCCCCGUGGUAAUCCUCCCAGUCCGCGGUGCAGAGAACUUGAUCGAGGUGCACAAGCGUCGGCGGAGAUUGCUCGUUAGACCAGGUGAAGCGGCGCCCAUUUAGGUAUACUUUCUUCAGGGCAAGGUCGUUGAUGGCACGACGGAACCUUCCCAUCAUACGGCGAUUCAGAUUACCGGAGCUCUUGUCCGCGUCACGGUAUAUGAGGUUGAAGUCGCCGCAUAGCAUCCAAGGACCGGGGCAAGCAGCCCGGAUGUCCCGCAGCUCUUGCAGGAACAGGAGCUUAUCGGGGUCACAUUGGGGGCCAUACACCGUGGUCAGCCACCACGGGGCACCACUAGGCGCACACACCUUAACCGUGAUCGCAUUCUGGGUGAAAAGGGGGUCGGAUAUAGUGACAACCCUACUCUUCCAAGCGAUGAGAAUACCGCCGCGAGUGCCGUCGGCGGGGAGAUAUGUAGAACCAUCAAACUCGGACCCAAGGGUGUCUAACACAAUCGACGAGCAGACCAACUCCAUUUUAGUUUCCUGGAGGCAUACAAUGGAUGCACGGGUGGUACAUAUAACGAGCGAAUAGCACAGCGCCUAGCGCGCGAGUUCAAGCCCCUGACAUUCCAAACCGCAAUCUGGGGACCUGGAUACAUCAGCGAGAGGUCGACUACAAGCACCACCAGCCUAGCGCGCGCAGGCCGUGGCAUCGCCAGCCUGCAGCGACAUGCCUGCAGGGACCGUUCGGUCAACCAGAGCGGCGAUGGCAUGCAGCACCGGGAGCUUGAUCGGCGUGGCAAACAUGUCGUCAUAUGCCUUCAUUUCGACGGGGGAAAUCGGCUGAUUCGCGCCGACAAUCCCGAGGGUGCGGAGAAUCUGAAUCACAGCCCUUCUGUCCGUGGAGAGGAGCGCGGAGGCCGGAGCGACAGAGGCAGCGGAUCGCUCCCUCCUGGGGCUAAAGUUGAGAGGGGGCCGCUGGCGCUUCCCAGGAGAUGGUAGCAUCGCAUCAAGUUGCUUGGUGGCAGCAGACAAGAAGGCACCCAACGNAGGGCACGGCCCGUAGUCCGGCUGGCAUGCAGGCCUCGGCAGAAUGGAAAUAUGGCCGUGGUCGCGGGGCGAAUCCAUGCCUGGCCCCUGCUGUGGUCGUGCGUCCAUGGACAGCACAGACCCAGCAGCAAGCAAACCAUCAGGUGUGGGCGCUUCGCCGGGUGCGUGCACGUCUUCGGGCGUGGCCCUAGCGACCAGGGGAUCCUCGGCCGCGAGCCCGGUAGCUGCGGCGUCAGCCACCACCCCAGUGGGCUCGGGCGAAUCGGCAUCUGAGGGUGCUGAUGCGAUGACGGUGUCCACAACCGCGGGUCCUACCGGAUCAGAGCUGGCUAGUGGGGACGGGGUGGCCUCAGCUAAACUGGAGGGGGGUGGGGGGGGGGGGUGACGGAGCGCGUCCCGCCCUCUCCUCAAAAGCGCGCGGGAGGAGCCGCGGAGGUUGGUCAAGGACCGUCUUCGGCGGUGCAGGAGCGGCAAAGGGGGGGUGCGGCUCCUUUUGUCCCGAUCGGGGCGCAGGCGGUGCAGCGGCCGACCUCACGCGCUGCUCGGCAGGACCCAGGCGCAGCAGGCAGCGAUCCCGACAGGGCCUAGGAUCAGCCACUGCAGGCGUGGGUCCGUCCGGAUCCGCCUCGGACGUGCGCGACGUCGACGCCCCAUCUUUAUCCUGGCCCCGGGUAGCGAACUGGAGGCCGCCAACUGUCCCAAAGCGAACGACCGCACCGUCCUCGUCGCAUGCAUCUGCCACUUUGCGCGAUGGGCCCGCCGGCAAAGCCGCUUUGGUCGUCACAACGUGCGUCUGCUGCUUCUCAUUUCUGACGCCGUGACGAGGGCGAGCUGGGCCCUGCUGACCAGGCCAUGUCAGCAUGCCAGCCCGCUUGGGGCACAACCCUUGCCGCAGCACGGCCAGGGAGCCAUCGCGCCGGCGCCGUCUGAACGGCCGGAGCGGCCAUGAGUGCGCGCAGGCAACGCGAGUGCGUCUACAGCCAUGCCAUCAGCCCGGCCAUUCUGUGCCUCGAUCGUGCGACGGCGUUUGCGACCGCGCCGGCGAGCGCGCCCAGGACCAGGGCCAGGACCGUGACCAUGCCCCUUGCCGGGGCCAUGUCGGCCGUCCGCGCCACCGUCCUCGCCGUCUCCGUCACUGCCCGCGGCGUCCUUGACGACGGCCGGAGCAGCCCUGAUCAUCUCCGCCUUGGUGAGAGCAAUGGACACGGGAAAGGUGAGAGUCCUGAUGGCUGGGGCCUCCGAUGGGACACGGCCGGGCAGCUGCUCGAUGAUCUCCAGGGUGGCGGCGCGCCGGAUGUCGGCCGGGUCGUGCGCGCGCCCAGUGACGCGGAAGACGGCCAUGUCCUCGCGGGAGCGUGUACGCGGGUGUAGACGCUCAAUCCAGCAGCUGCCGCCCAACACAUGCUCCGCGGUGGAGAGCAGCCAGGCGUGGGCGGGGAUGCCGCGGAGCUCCAGCCCGACGCGGUACUCAAGCUCGCCGGCGCCGGCGUGGGCGAGCUUGCACCAGGGCCGGAGGGACAGCACGAAGCGCGACGAGCUGAUGAAGUGCUCGCCGCGGAACCGUCUCAUGAUCGCCAGGGAGGAAAACAGGAUCAGAAAGUCCUCCGGGUGAUGCUGAUGAACCGAGAAGUCUCCCUCUUCCAGCUCCAGGGAAGACAGGAUGAGCUCGGUCAACUCGGCCAUGGACACAGAUGGCCGGGUGCCCGUGACGGUGGCCACCAUCGCGCGGCCGAGCACCUGCUCCGCAUCGUCCAUCUCUUUGGUUUGGGCUAGGAACACGCGGGCGGGGACGUCUUCGAGCGGGCGAGUCCGCGGCAGGGGAACCACAACAGGGAAGGCCGGGGCGGGCAGACGCGUCGUCGGAGGAGAGGCCCUGGCAGGGGCGCCGCGUAGUGGCCUGGGCUGCUGGUCCACGGCGGCGUGCGGGGAGCGCUUAGGCGCGGCCGCGGCCACCGGCCGCCGACCAUCGCAGUCGCGGGAGGCAUGGCCGGAAGCGAGGCAGCGCCGGCAUCGGAUGUCGUUCGGACAGUCCCUGACGCAGUGGCGGUGAUCCAGGCACCGGAAGCAGAGGCCCGCGAGCUCCUCGGGGGAGGGACUGCGGCGGCGCGCAGGCGAGGGCGUGGCCGGCGCGACACGGCGCGGGCGACGGGGCCGCUCUCUGCGGUGAGCCUGCUGGAAGCCGUCUGCGUCGAGCACUGGGCCGCCCGAAACGCGGUGGACCUCCGAGCGGGGGCCGAGACGCGCCUUGGCGGGGGGACGAGCUGCUGGCGCGAGGCGGCCUGGAGCGAGGGCGGCCGGUGGCGCGACAGCGGCCGGCGGGGUGCGGGCGACGUCGCUGUACGAGCGCGCCGAGGACUCGCUCUCCGAACUCGACCAGCGGUCCCCGUAGGAAACACGCUCGCCGGAGAGGGUCUCGCGGCGGUCGACAGGGUCAGCCCCCACCGGGGCCAUGUCGCGGGGGAGGAGGGCUGCAGGGAAGGUCCGGCCGGCAGGGAUGGCGUUGGCGGAGCGGCGCGGCAGCUAGGCUAGCGGGGCGCGGAGGCGGAGCGGAGAGCCAUCUCACCUUUUUCUAUGUACUAGUAUAGUUCAGACCCUCCAAAUGAUGUGUUAUUAUUUUUAAAAGUAAAAGUAGUCACGUAAGUCCAUCAGGUUAUGCUUGUACCAUUUGGAUUUUGUGGAUUUCUGGAUUUGGAAUAUUUGUGUGUAUUGCCCAUCUGGGUGAUGUGAUGAUAGUAUUUAAUACUAGAUUUACUAGUACCUAAUAUUGGAACUUAAUAAUUUGAUCUUAUUACUUUUUGGAACCUGUUCAUCCACUUCUAUGAAGUUUGGAUUUUGUUGUAGAAACUUGUUCAAGUAACAAAGAGCAACAAUUAUUUAUUUUUAAUGAGCCUACAUACAUCAGUUCACAUGCGCUCAUAUCUGACUGUGUUUACAUGAUUGCAUCCAACAUGAGUUACUUCACAUCAUUGCAGUUUACCUCUGAUCAUUGCAAUUGUUUUUGUUAAUUUACUAUUUUUUUACUUGAUGGGUUACAGAGCAUUUGUUUUUCCUAUUUUUCAUCGUGUGGCACUAUUCUUCAUGGUCCCGAGUAGUCAACAGUCACUGGACUAAAUCUGCUUACAACCCAGUACAUUAAGCUGCGGGUAGAUUUUUACUGCCACAGGGUUCAUCGCAGACGUGCUACCUUAAUCCUAUCCUUUGGAAAAUUGUGUAAAUUAUCAUGGAAAUUCCAAAGCUAUUUGGUGAGAUAAAUAAUAGUACAAUUCAAUGUCAUGUGCAGAAGCAAAUAAGAUCUUCUGCGAAUAGUAGCAACUUCUAUUUUCAUCGGAGAAUUUAUUUUCUUUUGUUCUCAGUGUACAGAUAAAAUUUAGAUUUAACAUUGGCAUGUUUAUUUUGUAUCAAUAGUGACAUUUUUUGGAAUUGAAUAUUUCCAUUCUUUUUUUUUGGGAGGGUGAGAACACAGUUGCACCUAAGGAUUGGGCGCACCUGAUAUAUUCUUCUGUUCUAUAUUAUGAGCUUGGUUCUAAUCCAUGUUUGCCUCGUGUGUAUAAUUCUCUUACCUCUUGCUAUUUUAGGCACAUCAUGGGGGUUCCUUCUUCUGCUCUAUGCUUUUGUGCAAAUAUCACGUGCUGUAGUUGUCGGUGUUUUGUAUCCAUUUUUGCGUCACUUUGGGUAUGGUAUGGACAUCAAAGAAGCCACAGUUCUUGUUUGGUCAGGACUGCGAGGAGCUGUUGCUCUAUCACUCUCUCUGUCCGUUAAAGUAAGUUAUUUUCUUGCACCAAUGUAUUCGAUCCUCACUCAUCUGUUGUUACCAUUAUGUGCAUAUUUGUAGACAUCUUUUUAAAAAGUAAUCGCCAUUUUUUGAGAUAUUAACUGAAAUACUUCUUCUAGCGUGCUAGUGAUUCAGUUCAACAUUAUCUGAAACCAGAAGUCGGAACAAUGGUACGCUCUUUCCCUUUCCUGAAAACUACAUUUUUUUUUAUUUGAGCUUUGCUGAUCUUAUAAAUCUUUUGCAGUUUGUGUUCUUCACAGGUGGCAUCGUGUUUCUGACAUUGAUUUUGAAUGGUUCUACCACACAAUUUUUGUUGCACCUACUUGGUCUGGGAAAAUUGUCAGCAACGAAGGUUAGCUUUACAAAUUAUUAUCUAUGGUUUCUUCUGAUCUUGGGAUUAAUGAUUUUGCUUAACUGUAUGUGUGCGUGCUUUACUAACCCUUUGUGUUCUAACUCAUAAGAUUAAUGAGUGAACUGGCCCAAAUAAGGUGUUAAGUUAUGCAAACAUUUUUUUCAAUCUAUGAGUUCAAGGAUAGUGAUGAAUCAGUUUGUCGUACACGAAAUAAUGGGGCCGGGAGUAUUAGCACACCCGACACAUUAUUAAGAAGCAACAUGAUACACAGGUUUAUUCACCCCACGAAAUAAAUUACAAUAUUUGAUCUGCCCCACAGGGGUCAAACCCAUGUCGUCACACACUCUUCUCAGGAUGUUGGUUAUUGACCUGAAAAUUACUCUAAAUGUCUAGGAUGGAUCAUCCUCUACCUUUUAGGGAAAUUCAUUUUAAAUGUAUAGAAUAAGAAUGGAUUACUAAAAGGGAUUCUAGAUUAGUUCAGUACAGGUAGUUAUUUUAUUGAUCUAAGAUAAGAUGAAAAAGAGUCCAAUUUUUUUUUAUUUCCAUUCCGUGCUUCAUUUAGUGUUCAGACCAAAAAUGCAUUCAUCCCGCACUAAGUCAUAAAAUUCUCUAAAGAGAAAGCUUCAAAAACAAAGAAAAAAGCGAAUCAAUUUAGUAGAAAAGUACUCUAUCAGAUUCGAACCAAUGACUUACGUCUUAGCACGAGAUGAAAUUUGUGAACUUUACAUGUUAAAUUAUGACAAAUAAAAAUAGUCUCUCUUUUGGUCAAACCCUCUUGACCCCUUGCAGCUUCAAAAGUUGUUAAUAGAGCCUUUCAUUAUUAUUAUUAUUAUUAAGCCUCUUCUUUUAUCUACUCAAGGGUGCAUAUGUUUGCUGUGAUUGUUACCUGCAAUCAGAAACAACAGUAAUUUGGUUUCACAUGUGAUUGAUAAAUGUGAAGUAGCAUAGUUAUGUUCUCUUCAUGCUCCAGUUUCUUAUCUGAUUUCCUGCAACUGUAGCUUCGUGUAUUGAAGUAUACACAAUAUGAAAUGCUGAACAAGGCAUUGGAGGCUUUUGGUGAUCUCAGGGAUGAUGAGGAACUUGGGCCUGUUGACUGGGUUAAUGUGAAGAAAUAUAUCACGUGUUUGAAUAACUUGGAAGAUGAACAAGCACAUCCCCAUGAUGUUCCUGACAAGGAUGAUCACGUGCAUACCUUGAAUUUGAAGGAUACUCGAGUGCGGCUUUUGAAUGGUAUGAAAUAUACAUGAUAAUGUGUUGAUUAAAUUUGAUAUUUGGUUGAACGAUCCAUCCGCCUUUGUCUUUGUUAAGGAGUAUUAGUAUUAGGUCUAGGAGUCCUAUUAGGCUAUGUUUCCUUUCCUUGUACCCCAAAUCUGGGAAGUGGUUUGUUUUUUCAUGUCAAAAUAAAAUAAAAUCUGGGAAGUGGGAGGAGAGGAAAAGGUGGUCUGUGUCAGUAUCGAUUGCCUUGUUUUGGGCAAUUUCUGCCUAUCAUCAUCAAUCAAUGGGCAACAUCAAAAUCGCAUCCAACCAGAUGAGCUUUGGAUCUGCGGUGAACCACUAGCGUGGUUAGAUGUGCAACUUGGGAGUUCCAAGGACCUAGAUGGGGAAGUUUAAAGACCUAUAGACUGUAGUGUAUCUUAGUCUAUUAAAUAUCAUGUUAUUCGCCAAUUCUUGCUGUCAAUAUAUUCUUUCAAAUACCUUGCUAGUAGCAAGCACACCAAAAUUUACUACACCUGUUGUCGUACACAUUUUUUUACUAUGCAUGAUUAUAGCUGAACUGUACGCCAUCUUUUAUUUCUGUCGGUCAUACUUUUGGUACAUAUUUAUCUGAUCUCUACAUGAAUUGGAUUUUGCACUUUAUUGGGGCCAUCGCAUCACUCUUUUUUGUGAGGAACAUCUUUCAUUUGUUAUGUUAGGAAUUUCUUGUCCUAUGAGUUCUGUGUAUCUUAUUAAUGUUUUGCAUCCUUUUAUUUUCUUUGUCGUCUUUGCUCUCGCGUUAUUACUUAAUAUUUCAUUUAUGGUUCUACCUUCUCUUGAAAUAGGUAUGAUAAUAUGCAGUCUCAUACUACUACCUCCGUUUCACUGUAUCCGUCUAUGGCCUACCAAAGAAGCACCAAGUCUGAAACAGAGAGAGUAAACAUGAUUAGUUAAAAAAAGAUUAUUGACUACAUAUUUUUAUCAGGUGUGCAAGCUGCUUACUGGGGAAUGCUUGAAGAGGGACGAAUAACUCAAUCUACAGCAAAUAUUUUAAUGAGAUCAGUUGAUGAAGCUAUGGAUCUUGUCUCUUCCCAAUCAUUAUGUGAUUGGAAGGGUUUGCGGUCCAAUGUUCAUUUCCCAAAUUACUAUAGGUUCCUUCAGAUGAGCAGGUUGCCACGAAGGCUAGUCACAUACUUCACAGUAGAAAGAUUGGAGCUAGGAUGUUACAUCUGUGCAGCAUUUCUCCGUGCUCACAGAAUUGCGAGGAGACAACUACAUGAUUUUCUUGGUAAUAUCCUUGGCAGUCUUUAAAUGUUGUCAUGUCCUAGUUUUAUACGAUUUGCUUGGCGUAUAAAGUGGAGAAAAAUGUAGAGAAGAAAUGUCUGUCUCAAUAGUUGGUGCCUACAUGAGAAAUGCUAUGUGUGAGAGUGUUCAAACAUAUUCUUGGUGUAGGUGUCCAUUGUUGUAGUUCAUAAGUGGAAACAUCAAGUGGUACAUACCUUAAGCUUGGCUUGCUUUCAUGUAGAACGAGCCAGUUACUGUAUUUAGUGCUCAAACGGGCGAUGUCUUGAUCGUGUGAUAUAUCCGUCAUUGCAAACUUACUUGGUAUAGCAAGAUCUGAAGGUCCAAAUGAUUUGAGCUUGUUAAGGCUGAACCUUAAUUUAUUUUGCAAUUACCAUGAAAGCCUUUGGGAAGUCACCUUUUCACACUGUUUAGUAGAUACUAGGGAUUAGAGAUCCUAAUCCUCUUCACUGGUUUUCAUUGUUUUUAUAAAUUUUGCUUGUUCUUCAGGUGAUAGUGAGAUUGCAAGAAUUGUCAUCGAUGAAAGUACUGCUGCUGGGGAGGAAGCUAAAAAGUUUCUGGAAGACGUUCGUGUUACAUUCCCUCAGGUUGUGGAUACAAUGUGCUUAUAUCAUUUAACUCAUUUUUUUAUGGAUUCUUAGCCUUAUGGGAUCUUGCUAAAUUCGUUUGGUCAGCAGUUUAUCUGCAAAACUUGAGGAUGAAAGCACAUUGUCUGAACUAAAAUGGGACUAGUUCAGUUUCAUGCACAUUUGGAUUAUUUUAUUCUUUUUUUUGCGGGGGAUUGUUAUCUAGAUUCUGAAGCUGCUUCAACACUGUUUAGGUGCUUCGUGCAUUGAAGACUCGACAAGUAACAUAUGCGGUAUUGACACACUUGAGUGAGUAUAUUCAAGACCUUGGGAAGACUGGGUUGCUCGAGGAAAAGGAAAUAGUCCAUCUCGAUGAUGCUUUGCAGGUAGUUGGAAAAUAUGAUUCCAUUUCUUGUUGCGAAGUGAAAGUAACUUCAUCUCUCUGGCUUCAGUUCAAAAUCAGAAUAUAAUAACUCUGGUAUGUUGAUUCACUUGGCAGAGAGACUUGAAGAAGCUUAAGAGGAAUCCGCCACUGGUGAAAAUGCCAAGAGUUCACGAACUUCUAAAUACCCAUCCUUUAGUUGGUGCACUGCCUGCUGCUCUUCGUGAUCCAUUGUUAAGUAAUACAAAGGAAACAAUAAAAGGGCAUGGAACAGUUCUUUAUGCAGAAGGCUCAAGGCCGACUGGUGUAUGGCUUGUUUCGAGUGGAAUAGUAAAGGUAUGUUUCUGCUUCGAGGCCACUUUAUUGCAUUUUGGUUGAAGUAUAUACUUUCCCACUCUAUCUGGUUCAAUAAUGAAUAUAUACCUCCCCUGGCCUUUUUUGACAGUGGACAAGUCAGAGACUAUGCACGAGGCAUUCAUUGGAUCCAAUUUUGUCACAUGGAAGCACUUUGGGUCUAUAUGAGGCAUUAAUUGGAAAGCCUUAUAUUUGUGACAUUAUUACAGAAUCAGUGGUGCAUUGUUUCUUCAUUGAGGCUGAAAAAAUAGAGCAAUUGCGCCAGUCUGAUCCUUCUGUUGAGGAUUUUAUGUGGCAGGUAUCCUCUCCUAAUACUUCCUACCAAUGUGCUCAUUAACAUUUUUGACUCCCUACACAUUUCCUGCAAUGUAUAAUCCUUUUCUGUUCUGUUGUUUCCUUGAUUCUGUGAGUGGGAGUGAAGUCUAGUUCUUAUUUCUGUGCUUCUCAAUAGGGUUAAAAAUCCUGCUGGUUACUGAUCGAGAAUCCUGUCAACCUGUAAUGGAAGGGUGGGUGGGUGGCAACAUUUAUUCUACCAAGCUUUGCUUGGAGUUGUUUCUGAUUUCAACACUAACGUCAAGUAUGAAAGAUUCAUAGAAAAUGAUAAAAGGCAAAUGUGCCCUAUUCUAUCUUUGGGACCCAGUCUGAUGACUCAUAUUGUCACUGUGUGUAGUGCACUACUCUGAGAUCACAUCCAUACAUGAAUAGUUAAACAGAGUCUCACAUUAUACUAACCAUUACCAAUUGAUAAUGAUGGCCAAAGUCUUUCAAACGGGGCCUUGCAGGAUCAUUACAUUGAGUUUCUGUGGAACAUAGAUGACUGAGCCUUCAGUGGUAUGCCAUAGGACAUAGUGCACAUUAUUACAAGUCCAGUAACUCGGCACAAAAAAAAGAGCACGUCAUGACAUGUUGCCAAACACAAGACAUCCCAAAGCCGAGUCCUUGUAACCCAUAUGCCAAGUGCUAUCAAGAGAUUGUCUCCACAUGCAACAACUAUGCAACAAUGAGGUGCAGAGGAGCAUAGUCUUCAACUAGACACCUCCAUCGAGGGACUUGCAUCGUCGUCAUCUGAUUCAACCAAGGAGGUCAAGGAUUUUCACCUGGGCUGCAGAAUAUCGUCGUCGCCGGGACUAGAUAGCCAGACCUAGGUUUUCACAUUGGAUAGCUGGUACAGGAACUGUCGACUGAGCCCCCAACACCACCUUCACUGGAUCCAGUCAAACACUGGAUAAGCACACCGUGUUUUGAUCUGCAACCACCCCUGCUAAUUACAGUCACCAUGACCUGUCAGAUCCACCUCAUCUUUGUAUCAAACUAUCAAUACCCGUGCACAAUAUUGACUUGUAACAUUCAAGCAGCAGCCUGAACGUUACAAACUUACAAUAACCAUCAAGUCUGUAUCUGAUAGCCCUUAAUCAUUCAUACUCUGAAAUUACAGGAAAGUGCUCUCGUUAUUGCAAGGAUUUUGCUCCCUCAGAUAUUUGAGAAAAUGGCAAUGCGUGAGAUGAGAGUUCUCAUUUCAGAAAGAUCUACUACAAACAUCUACAUUAAGGGGGAAGAAAUUGAACUCGGGCAUAAUUACAUAGGCAUCUUAUUGGAGGGAUUUCUGAAGACAGAGAACCGAACUUUGAUCACACCUCCAGCUGUGCUGCUGCCGUCAAACACUGAUCUGAACUUAUUUGGUCUGCAGUCUUCAGGUUCUCUAUAUUUUCAUCAAUCAAUCAGUGGCUAUUUUUUUGAAGCAAAAACAGUGAUUUAUUUUACUUUAAAAGCAAUUGAAUGCUGAAGUCCUCUCUUGUUUACAGCCAUGAAUCAGAUAGACUACUGCUAUGCCGCACCCAGUUAUCAGGUGGAAGCUAGAGCAAGGGCCAUCUUAUUUGAAAUAGGGAGGCCAGAUAUAGAAGCCGAUGUGCAAAGAAGUGCGUCGGUGCUGUCUCCAGCCCUUGGGCCGCCACGAACACAGAGCAAAGAGCAUGUGGGUUUGCUCAGGUGGCCUGAGAGUUUCCGGAGAUCCAGAGGGCCUGGAAGUACAAGCUUAGCUGAAAUCAGAAGCCAACCUGGUAGCUUCUCUGCUAGAGCCUUGCAAGUCAGCAUGUAUGGCAGCAUGGUACGUAUGAGUCUUCUCUUUCCUUUUGUCGAUAUAUCAUGGUUAGGUCACGGUUUCUGAUCAACUCAUCAACUGAAAAACUGGUUGCAUCAUUCGUAGAUGGAUGGCAUGCGCCCUGCUCGGCGACAACCAAGGUUUGAUCAUGUGGAAGGAAACCAGAAGCACAGCAAGUCGUAUCCAAAGGUGCCUUCAAGGGCAGCCGACACGCGGCCUCUGCUCUCGGUGAGGUCGGAGGGCUCCAAUGCAAUGAACAGAAAGUCUGCUCCUGCUCCAGCUCCAGCUCCAGUUCAUGCACUUGCUCCUUUUCCACCCCUAGCAGCAGGCCGGCAACGCAGGGAGAUAGCGGAAGAUGACAACUCGAGCGACGAGUCUGUGGAGGAAGAAGUUAUCAUCAGAGUGGACUCUCCCAGCAUGCUCUCUUUCAAUCAACCUUCCGGCCCACCGCAAGGCAACUGAGGGAUGCAGCAUGCACCGACAUCUUCUUUUUUGUUGCAUAAUAAUUGUUGUGAUCAGUGGCAGCAUGUUGUUUGUAUAUUAGUAUAUGUGUAUAAUGCACGAUAUGUGUAAAGUGGCAGCAAAAGAUUGUGGCAAAAGGUUAGAAAAUGUUUGUGAAAUGUUCAGAAGUUUUCAAUUUGUUUAGCAAAUUAAAUAAUUGUUCAUAUUUUUUUUUAUUACAAAAUUCUAGAUUUUUUUUCUUCAUGAAUAUGAAAAAUGUGCAUCAAUUUUAAACAACUUCAAGAAUUUCAACAUAAGUUCACAAAGUUUUGAAAAUGUUCACAAAUUGUAAAGUGUUCACAGACUUAAGAGAAAUCAUUUUUGAAUUAAUUAAAGAAUAAAAAUACUCAUGGAUUUUAAAUUGCUCCUACAUUCAUAAAAUGGUCAUGGAUUUCAAAAAUGGUAAAGAAUUUUGAAAAGUAAAAAAUAUUCACAGUAAGGGAAAAGAGUAUAAAAGAAAAACAAGGGAAAAGCUGACUAAUAAAAGGGAGAAAAAGGAAACCAAAUGAAACCGAAAUCCAAUAGAAAAACUUGUACUUCCUAUGUACCUAAAUAUUCUCCCCAAGUUGAGGCGUCCCAUGUACAUCUCGAGGGUGCACAUUUGCUCGCUAACGCCGAACUAGACGCAAAAUAGGAUGCACCGCUCCAUAUGUACAAGGUAACACUUCACUUCUUUAAGUUGUGUCCUGUGCACCCCGCUGGGCUAUGAUAGGUCCACUCCCGACGGCAGUUGUCGAUGCAAAAUUUUUGCAAAACAUGUAUUUUUCUCCGUUCGUGAUUUAGUUAGAUGACUAUGCACACACACACCUCAUAGCCCCGAAAUGUACGUCUAUAGUUUCCAUCUAGUUAAGUUACUUGUUGUGAUGUCAAUAUAUACUUGGUGUACAAAGAAAUCUAGCACACUGUCCCACCCAAAGCACGGAAAUGAAUGCCAUUAGAUAUCUUAAUUUACCACAAUAUAUAAAACCAUAUGUGUUUUAUAUCUAGCACGUAAUGAAAGAUCAGUAAGGGGAAUUAAGGUUUAGAUUGUGAGCCAACUGUUUCCACUACGACAUAAAAUGGUAUAGCUGGUACAUUUGGUUUACACUGUUGGUCCGGAUUCGGCUCGCCUGUGGUGAUCUUCAACACUGAAAAUCAAGACAACAAUCAGGGGUGGACUUAGGACACAAAUGUCCUAGUGUCCCAUGUCCAUCACACAAAUACAAACAUCAAGCAAUAAUAUAUAUAUUAGUAAGAGUUUCAACAAUUCAAUACACAUAGAACAAAAUAUACCAAUGAAAACACUCACAAAAUGAAAUCAAAUGAAGGUUUCACUUGAAUAAUGGUAUUUUUUUUUGUUUGCAAACGACACUUGAAAUAUUAGUUGACCACUGAAAAAUUUGAAUGUUGAAGGAAUAUCUGAGUCUCAAACAGAUGAAUGAAUGAUUAAUGUAGAUAAUUAGAAGUUGCAUAAAGGAGAGAAAUAUUUCUGAAAACGGAUAUAUACAAGAAAACGUGAUUGCAUGGUUAUAGAAUUACAUUUUCUUGGGAGGAUGCUUGUCUGCUUGUGUGUCCAGAUAUCCAAAAAUGUUACAAUCUCGACCCCACUCAAUGGAUAAUUAUUAGAAAUGUGGUGGAACUCGAAGCCUGGUAAUAGUUUAGGUCAUAGGUGCUCGUGUGUUUUCCCAGCUAGUUCACGCCAUUGCAGUAGGAGGACUGCUAUAUACUCCAUUCGUUCCAAAAUAAGUGUCGUAAAUUUAAUACUAAAUUUGUAGAAAUUUAAUACUACAGCAGCGAUACUUAGUUUGGGACGGAGGGAGUACUAUGUUGGAAAUAAUCUAAACUUCACAAAAUCAUAGAGGUGCCCUGGGCUUGUAGUUUCUCUGGAACAUCUGGUGGUGUCUCUGGAACAACAGGAAUGAUUUCGUUUUUGAACCAAGAAUGCCGAAACACCCCGCAGAUACCAUAUCUUGUGUGCUCUUAUUUCUGCUGCAAUGGAUGAUUCUUUGGCCAGGUAUAAUCACAUGUCGUCUUUGAGGAAGUUAUUCGCGAAGGAGACCAUCUUCGACAUCUGGGCUGCGUAACCUGGGAGUUAAUAGUCUUUUUCCUGGUUACCUAUAGUUUUAAACUUUCAGUUCACUUGUUUUUGUGAUGUUUACCGGUUGCCGGAUUGUGUCUCUGGGAUUGUCAAGUGUGAAAUCAAUGCCAGAAUUUGUGUUGCAGGAAUUGAGACAAAGGAGACCACAUGCAUCCAUGCUGCUUUGAUCGGUACAAUAAGCACAGGUGCUCAACAAGGUAACCAGUUUAACAUCCACAGGGGGAUACUAGCGUAAUGACUCGACGCCGUUCAAGAAUACUACAAGCAUGUUAUAUUAUCUGCAGGAUACUGCAUCAAAUCUAGGAUUUUUGUCCAAAAGGACCCCCUGUCGAGUGGGAUUGUCAAAAAAGACCACCUGCGAGUGCAAAUGGCUAAAAAGACCCCCACCCCGGGCGGCGGCAGGCGCGCCAGGCGGCACGUGGCACCUGCCGCCACCGCAGGAGGCGGCCGGGUGGCCUGCCGCCACAGCCCCUGGCGGCGGGGGCCUGCCGCCACCGCCCCUGGCGGCCAGCGCGGGAUCCCGUUCCCGCCCACUCCUGUCCGUAACGGACAAGGCCGGGUGGGCCCUGCCGCCUCGGGAGCAGGCGGCCAGGUGCCCUUUUUUCCGCGCACCGGCACUGUUGAUGAUUGAUUGCGCUGAUUCCGAGGCUCCUUUCCCGCUCGAAUUUUUCCCGCGCGGCCGGGCAGAACCGUGGGAAUUUUUCCCGCUAUCCACCGACGAAACAGUGCGAAAUUUACUCCUUUAUAAGCGAACCGCGUCGCUGCCUCCUCUCUCACUCUCUUCUCCUGUCGUUGCCUCCCGUGUCACUCUUCUUUCCCACUCUCUUCUCUUUCUCACUCUCUUCUCUUUCUCACUCCGUAUGAAUGUUUAUGUGGCGAUUUAGGACGGAUUAAAGUGAGAUUUUGAAGACGUUGUAGUUGAAGAAAAGAUAGAUCAAGGUAAGAGCUUUCCAUAUCUGUUGGUUGUGUUUGCAUGCAUGAUGUAUUUAUUUUGUUUGAUUAGUUACUAAGUAUGUGUUUUCUUUUGUCUUAGAGAGCGUAUUAUCACUUUUGUGGAACUAUUUUGAAGACGUUGUAGUUGAAGAAAAGAUAGAUCAAGGUAAGAGCUUUCCAUUUCUGUUGGUCGUGUUUGCAUGCAUGAUGUUUUUAUUUUGUUUGAUUAGUUUCUAAGUAUGUGUUUUAUUUUGUCUUAGGGAGCGUAUUAUCACUUUUGUGGAACUAUUUUGUCAUGCGAUAUGAACUACUAAGUUGAAGAUCAAGGUAUGAGACUUUGUUCAUAUUUGUGUUCAUGUGAUAAUAGGUCGACUAUGUUCAUAUAUUACCGAUGAUUUGUUCGUGUUUGCAUGCAACUGGUAUUUAGAAAGGAGCCGAAGAAAUGCAUAUGUAACUAGCAUUUUUGUAAAAAAACAUGUAAUAAUAUGUUAGCUCCAUUAGUAUUAUUACAUGCAAGACGCGUGUGUAAUAUAUUUGUUUAUUUGAUAAUUUGCCAACCCCGUAGAAAUAUGAUUCGUGAUAUAUAUAUAUAUAUAUGCAGUAUGUAUUUUGCCGCAUAUAUAUAUAUAUAUGCAGUAUGUAAUUUGCCAACCAGAGGUAUGAAUGACAUAUUGUAAUUCAUCUUCUAUUUAUUUUAUAGAUGUAGUGUGACGAUAAAUGAUACAAUAUAAAUUAUUAUGCGUAGAUGUAAUGGAUGUUGUUAAAUUGUUAUAUGUAAAAAAGAUAAGUAAUGGAUGUUGUUAUUACAAUGUAAAUCUAAAAAUAUGAUUUUUAAUGGACUAACGAUGUAAAUAUGGCUGCUCGUUAGGUACUAUGGAAAAUUUGUUAGUGUUUUAUGGGCACAUCUUACGUGAGAGUCCUUCUGGUAUGGAUGUGUCUAGGUGCGGGAUGACUACGGUUGUAGUGAAAGACAUGGUUAAUGUAGAGUAUGCGGCAGUUAGAAGGUGCAUCCGAUCGGUGUUUGGUUCAGCGAUGAAUGGAAAAAAAAUGACCGUGGAGGCUUUCGUGGUUGAGGGAGGAAAUCGUUGGGUUUUGCGACGGGUUACCGGUGAAAGAGCAUGGGCGUCGUACAUGGGUUUUGCAAGCAAUCCCAAUAACUCCAUGUAUGGACAACCCAUGGUUUAUGUGGAGUUCAUUUCUGCCAGUGAUGUCGCCGAGUGCAGUAGCGGUGCCGGUGAGGCCGAGUUGGCCGCAACUGUAGCCCCCGACGCCGGCCCAUCGGAACCAAGCGGUGGCGAACAUAUGGCCAUAACUGUAGCCCCCGACGCCGGCCCAACGGAACCAACAGGUGGCCAUCAAGUGUAUGACACGGGAUAUUGGUCUGCGGUCGUUGACAUGAGCGAACAUGUCGAGGGAUUGCUGGAGGCGCUAGAUGAUGACGAUGAUGGUCAUUCUUCUGCGUCUUCGGAAUCAGAUGAUGAUGAAGUUGUUCCUCCUGAGAAUGCGGUCGCUGCAGCAAUCAACCCAGAGUUUUUACAGGUUAUGAGCAUCACCAAUGAAUUUCACUCUGUUGCUGGCCUAGACGCGGGGAGUCUGGCCGUUGGACAGAUUUUCCCAGAGAAGAAAUCUGCUAAACAAGCAAUACAUAGCUAUGCAAUUGCUAUACACAGGCAACAUAGAGUGAAGCAGUCUGAUAAAAAGGAGUUGAAGCUCAUAUGCAUCCAUCGCGAAGCGGGUUGCCACGGAAGAGUUAUUGCUCGCCAGAAGCCUGGGGUAUGUCAGCCAUGGCAUGUCACAAAAAUAGAGCAACAUGGUUGUGAGCAAACCGGCACUCUUUCAGAGCACCGCAACGUGACUGCAGAAUAUGUGUCACAGGUGAUGCAAACCAUUGUGCAGCAAAGUCUUAAUAUUAGUAUUAGGGCUUUGCGUGCAACUGCAUCUGAUCUGAUUGGUUUCCCUGUCAGCUAUAGCAAGGCUCGUCAUGCAAAGGAAAAGAUAUUUCAGAGGUUGUAUGAAACCUAUGAGGAGGCGUACUCUUUUGCCCCUAGAAUGCUGCAUCAGAUUUCAGUUGCUAAUAGGGGGACUCAAGUUUUCCGGAAAGAACGUCCAAAUCCAUUGAACCCGGACGAGCAAAUCCUGGAUCGCUUAUUCUGGGCAUUCGCCCAGACUAUACAAGCAUUCAAGCAUUGUCGUCCGGUUGUAUCAAUUGAUGGUACAUUUCUCACAGGAAAGUACAAGGGCACACUCUUAGUGGCGAUGGCAGCUGAUGCAAACAAUCAACUUCUUCCUAUUGCCUAUGCACUAGUGGAGAGCGAAAACAAACAUAGUUGGCUAUGGUUCCUGUGUUGCCUAAAGAUGGGUGUCAUCAAAGACCGGGAAGGGGUUUGCAUCAUCUCUGAUCGCAACACCGGACUAUUAAGCGCGCUUGAGAUAAUUAAGGCUUCACAAGAUCCAGAUUGGGGGUGGCCCGAUCUGGAGACAAGGUGGUGCAUGAGGCAUUUGGCAGCUAAUUUUUAUUCGAAAUUCAAAAACAAAGAUUGGUUCAAGCUAUUCAAGAGGAUGUGCAUGCAGAAAACUACAGCAAAAAUGAGUGCUAUCUGGGCAGGUAUCAAUGAUCAGAUCGAGCGCGCAUCCCUCCAGGCGAGAGAAGACCGGAGGGGUCGUCGAAGAGCAAUAAAUUUGAGCCAGUGGAUUAAUGAGAAUUGUCCCAAUUUGUACAAGUGGGCGCAGUCUCAUGACACUGGCGCUAGAUACGGUAUAAUGACAAGCAACAUGUCCGAGGUGUACAAUGGUGUUCUUAAAGGGGUGAGGGCACUACCUAUCACAGCACUAAUUGAUGAAACUUGGAACCGGACUGUGUCAUACUUUGCAGAUAGAGUCACCGUUGCCAAGGCGCUAGUUGAUUUGAACAAGACCUGGUCUGAGAAGAUGCAAAGACAUCUUGAUGACAAAGCAAAGAAGUCGCAAAGACAUGGGUGCAGGCAGGUAGAUGCACUUAGGAAUAAAUGGGAAGUUAGUGUGCGAGCAAAGUUUGUGAAUGGUCACCACAGGGGAGCAAAAAAACAAGCUGUGACGCUUGGCGCAACCUCGUGUGAGUGCACUUGCAACAAGCCCAAGCUUCUGGGAUAUCCUUGUAGUCACGUAUUGCGGGCAGCUGCAGAUCAACAAAUUAGUGUCGAGUCGUACUUAUCACCAUACUUCAACAUGCACAAUUUGUACAACACUUGGAACGGUGAGUUUUGGGCAUGGGGCAUUGAUACGAACUACAAGCAAUUAUGGCCAGAAGGCACCACAUGGGUUCCAGAUCCCGCAUUGAUGCGAACCAGCAAGGGACGGCGUCAGUCUAGGCGUCAUCGCAAUGACAUGGACCACAGCCAGUUGGGAGAACCAAGACGAUGCCGCGUAUGUAGGUGUGCUGGUCACCCGCGUAGGGACUGUCCGUAUCGUAACAACAACACUGCGUGAUGUAAUAUUCGGAAUAUGUAUUUUAAUUUAAUCGUGAUGUAAUAUUCGGAACAUGUAUUUUAAUUUAAUCGUGAUGUAAUAUUCGGAACAUGUAUUUUAAUUUAAUCGUGAUGUAAUAUUCGGAACAUGUAUUUUAAUUUAAUCGUGAUGUAAUAUUCGGAAUAUUUAAUUUUUUUCAUCGUGAUUGCAGGUUAUGGCUGAAAUGCCCCAGCUUUUGAAUGGUUAUCACGACAACCACCACCGUUGCCAGCUUUUCAUAAAUCCAAAUCAUGAAAAUCCUCCUCAGACCUUCCGGCUUCGAACUGUAAAGACGCCCUGGUCAAUAGAGAAUCGGUUCCUUGAACACCUUGAGGCUUAUGGACUCCUACAUUUUGCGAACAUCGCAGCUCGUCGAGGUAGUUUUACUGCCGACCCAUCCCUUUUGACAUCCCUCGUUGAUAGAUGGAGACCGGAGACCCACACAUUUCACUUUCGAUGUGGAGAGCUUGCACCUACUCUAAAAGAUGUGUCAAUGAUCACAGCUUUACCAAUUAGAGGUGUGCCAGUGGUACAUCCACGAGUUUCUCCUAAUUGGCCAGCAGAUGUCUCUGCCCGUCUGAGGCUCGAAAUGCCCAUAUCAGAUCGUUCUGGUCCGCCUCGAGGUGUCCCACACAGCUGGCUUCGUAUUAACUUCGAAAUUUUAUCUACCCAUGCUGAUCCUGAGACAACGAAGAGACACUUGUUUGCAUAUUUGUUGUGGCUCUUCGGUGUGAUGUUUCCUAAUUCUCACGGGGAUGUAGUUUUGCCUGGUCUCAUCUAUUUUGCCGCAAAGAUAGUUGACGAACCUUUACCCCAAAAUCCACCAUAUAGCUUUGGUUCUGCUUUGCUUUCUCACACAUACCGAGGGUUGUGUGAUGCCACUCAAAAAACGGCAUUCACAUCUAAAGCUCCAUUACUUUGUGUCUCCUACGAGUUUCUACAGUUGUGGUCCUGGGAAUACUUACCUGUAGGACGACCGCAGAUAGUAGAACCCGCAACCCCGUACAACUAUGGUGAGGGUGUUGUAACUAUGUCCACUCGGUGGAUGCUGGGUCGAAAAAAAUGGUCUACUAAAAUUGCAAAAAAUUGUUACCCCAUAUACCAUGAUCAGUUUGAGCUUCUUAACGACUCACUAAUAACAUGGAACCCGUGACUGAGGCGCACAUUGAUAUGGUAUUUGGUUCGCAACACAUGCCAGUGGAAUGCGUGAGAGAUAGUGCCUUUUGGAUGACUCGCUGCAAUUUACUCUAUCUAUGGUUUGUGGAACCGUAUAAAAUACAGAAUGUGAUGUCAAUUUAGUAAUGUUAAUUUAUUUAUGCAGAACGUACGAUGCAACUACGACAGAAGCGUACUAUAAUUGGUAUCGCAUGAGCACGCGUACUAGACUGACGAGCGAACCACCUACGAUGCCAACACAUCCAACGCAUAUGGAACAGUUGCAGAGACGGAUGGACACAUCAUCAGCUUACUAUCGUGACUCCGCGGUAAUAAUCAACAUCUUGCUAUUCAGGUCCAUCAUUUCAUGAACAAUUUAACCAACGAACAACGAUUUUUUUCAGAUUGAUAUUUGCACCCAAGUACAAGCGAUGGCGAGUGAAGGAAUGCGAGCCGAGGGAAGUGAUCCUAAACGCAGGUCGUGGUUUAAAAAAAUUAGCGAAUUCGUGAGCACAAGGAUUACGAGAUGCGGUACAGAGAACGACGUUGUCACUGCAGCGUACAACAUUCCGGAACCGAGGUCAGCUAGACCGAGUGGGGCGCCGUCGUCGUCCAUGCGGUGGGCAGAGGGUCGUAAUACUAUGCCGACACUUCCACGACAUGACUCUUCUCUACCAAUACAUGGGCAGACAUCACAGGUAAAUGCUCCAGAUGUAGGAUCGACACCUGAACAGACUCAUUUCGUGGAGCAGGAUGCAUAUACAGCAUAUGACGCACACAUUCAAGGAUCUCAGCCAUAUCUGCCCACACGAGGGAUUAGGAUGCCCGAGGAGAAUCGUUGGGCUGAGACAAGCGAGGGAGCACAAAGCUACAACAGCGGACAGGUAUGUACAAUUAUAAUAAGCAAUUACAUAACUUCUAUUUACACAUCUUUUUGCUACACAUAAUUUAUUUUAAAAACAUUUUUUCGUGGACCAGGAAAUUAAUGAUCCAUCAUGGGGAGAUGAACAUACCCAGCGUGGCGUACAGAAAGAAAUACUCACAGAAACCCAUGAUACUCAAUGCACGCUCCCAGGAAUGAUAAAUAAUUUUUUCGGGCAGGACGUUAUUGGUCCAUCUUACAUCAAUUCUGAGUCACAACCAUUCACCUACAAUUUAGAAUCAUCAUCUCAAUAUGGAUUUCAGACUCCACCACCUAUGCAUCAGUCGCAGACACAGGAACACGAGGGACAGUACGGUCGUGGUCUUCGUGAACACAGACCCCCUGAUCGAUUGUCACCCUCCGGUCGUCGGGCAAGGCCAGCUGGUCGUCGUCGCAUAGGGUGAUUCGUCUAUGUAUGUGUGCGAACAAUUGCAUCUCUCUAUGUCAGUUUCAAACUUUCAGAUGUACGUACAAGACAUCUAUGUAGUUUCAUGAAAUAAAAGUUCGCGAUAUAUUUGAAGUUGCUUCCGUAAAAUAAGAUACAUAAAAUAAGAUUCAUAAAAUAACAUACAUAAAAUAACAUACAUAAAAUAAGAUACAUUAAGAUGUAGAGUUCAUAAAAAAAACUACAUAAAGUCGUCGUCAUCCUUCGACGAUGCAGAGCUCUCGCCCUUUGACGAAGCGCUACUCUUGGCCUUCGAUGAUGAUGCGCUCUUGGCCUUCGUCGAUGACGCGCUCUUGGUACUCGGCAUGAAGAUAUCGUCUUCGUCCUCACUAUCGUCAAUCCACAAGAAGGGAUGUUUUACUCCACCUCCACCGCGUAUGUGUUGGCCUUUCUUCUUCCAUCUUUCAUUCAACCGCAGAAGUUCUUUCCGAAUCUCCUCAUAUGUCCUUGCAGGCCACCCCUUCCUAGCUAAUGCGUGGGCAACCUCAUUCAGUAGCGUGUCACUACUGAUGAGUUCGUCCCAUGAAACUAUUCUAUUAUCUAUCUUGAAAUUGCUAGCUAAGCGCAGAAGACACUCGGACAUAUCACUAUGAAAACUACGAUCGAAAGGAUAAUGAGACAUUUUCAGCACACUCCUUACCGACCUUGGUCUGGAGGGGGUUUUAUAGGUGCAGCAGAGCGAGACGAAUAACUAAUGGCGGGAAAACGAGGCGGGAAAGCGAGGGCGGGAAAGCAAGGGCGGGAAAGCAAGGGCGGGAACAAACUGGCGGCAAAGCUAUACGCGGGAUAAAAUGGCGGGAAAGCGAGGCGGGAAAUAAAUGGCGGGAUAAAAUGAACAUACACGUAGCUGAAAUUAAGAUACCCAUUGCGGAAACUAAGAUACAAUUUGCCGAAAUUAAGAUACAUCUUGUAGAAAUAAGAUACAACUAAGACAACUUAACAUACAAUAAAAUAAAUCUACUGAGUCCAACGUGGAUAUUUUCCUUUUCCAUCACCAGCUUCUUCUGCUGCCUUGGCGGCACGAGCCCUUUCUCUCUUUCUCUCCCUCUCAGCUUCACGGGCCUGUUCCCGCUGUCUGUAAACCUCCUCCAGCCGAAGUUUCUCUUCUUGAUUUUUCCUUUUCAUCUCAUCAAGAAUAGCCCUCUGCUCCACACAGUAAUCUUCCCACUCUUUCUUCUGCUCUGCUUUCUCCUCUGCUUCAGCCUUCUCACGACGCUCUUCCAAGUCCAAGCUAGCCCAUGCACGGCGACCUCUUUCACGAAUCUCGGUCACCGCCCAGUCCGGCAUUUCCGUGUCAAUCCAACGAUAGUACAUGCAGAGAGGAGGAGGAGACUAAAGGAUGGAUCAGAUUCAAGUAAACAAUAAAAUCAAAUAACAAUAAUCUGGAUGACUUGAGCAUAUCGGAGGCCUGACGUACGCAGAAAUAGAUUCGGGUGGAUCAGAUUCAUAAUUGGCGCACAUGAAAAACUUCAUGCCCAACCAAUCUGAAAAAUCCGUCACCUCCUUCACCUUGCAGACAUCUCCGCACCAACAUCGAACUGCUUCCACCCCCCGAGGCAAGCUUGCACUCUGCAUUUUCCUAGGCCUAAUGCUCUGAUCCGAACAAGGCAAACUCAUACUGACUAUGGAGGUGCAGGUGCUUUGAAGUCUGUCUGAUGGUGAAGAGAGUUUCACUCCCUGCCUCCUUUUAUAGGCUCUGUCGGAUGUCUACGCUGGAAAAAAGGGCGCGAAAACGAGAAACUGCAGCGGGAAACUUAGGCGGGAAACUAUUGCACUGCUCGUCCGUCGUUAUCGCGUGUCACUGCUGCGAUAGCAAUCAAACAUUCACUCUCAAAAUAUUUGAUCGAGAGCUAAAACAUACUUUCUCUAUAAAUAAAUAUAAGAAACGCUAUUGUAAACAAUGUCGACCUAGAGAUAAAAGCCCCACGAAACCACCGUAACGAAUAGUGUCGACCAGGACACAAAGAGUCACUCUAAAAUCGCCGCGGUGAACAAUGCUGACCCAAAGAUGACAGCCCCGUGAAACCACGGAAAAAACCGCCCGCCUUCACCAGCGUGGAUAUCUUGAUUUGGUUCGAGGGAUGGGGGAUAACCACGGCCCAACAAAAUAUCCGUAGUAUAUGCCCUCCAUGCACUUAGCCAUCCGUGCAACUUGCACAAUAUUUUUGUUCAAAAGGAUUGCACUGUCCGAACCGGAGCAAAGGAGUAAAUUUCGCACUGUUUCGUCGGUGGAUAGCGGGAAAAAUUUCCACAAUUCUGCCCGGCCGCGCGGGAAAAAUUCGAGCGGGAAAGGAGCCUCGGAAUCAGCGCAAUCAAUCAUCGACAGUGCCGGCGUGCGGAAAAAAGGGCACCUGGCCGCCUGCUCCCGAGGCGGCAGGGCCCACCCGGCCUUGUCCGUUACGGACAGGAGUGGGCGGGAACGGGAUCCCGCGCUGGCCGCCAGGGGCGGUGGCGGCAGGCCCCCCGGCCGCCUCCUGCGGUGGCGGCAGGUGCCACGUGCCGCCUGGCGCGCCUGCCGCCGCCCGGGGUGGGGGUCUUUUUAGCCAUUUGCACUCGCAGGUGGUCUUUUUUGACAAUCCCACUCGACAGGGGGUCCUUUUGAACAAAAAUCCUCAAAUCUACGGUCUCAAAGUAGACCCGAGAAGGGGCGGGGCUAAAACACCCAUGCCAACAGUUCCAGCGUUCAUUUUACUAGCACCAACUACGUACGAAUCUACUCCACAGGAACCUUGGCGAAUUAAGCUGCUUCAAAUGAAGCAAGCCUUUCCCUGCUACCACGACUUGUCCAAAGCAACAACUUUGAUGUUACCCUGCAGGCCUGCACAAACAAAACGCCAUAAGAACCGACGGCACAGCUGCGAAGCAAACAGUCGAUGCUUGAAUAAACAUUACAUGAUAGUAUCAAUCCUAGUGGAAAGAGUCAUGCUUGAAUACCAUCACACGAUACCAUCAAUCCUAGUGGGUUCAUCUUGACCCAGUCCUUGUCAAAUAUACCUAAGAUAGGAGUACUGAUCAGCUUGAUGUACACAACAGUAUGCAUUUUUACUAUAUUUACCAAGACAGAACAUGUCUUAAGCGACCGUCGGUGUCAUGAUCUACAUUUUAAAUUACUACAUCACAUCAAUUCGGCCAUGCCACAGACACAUACCCAACUCAUCUUCUAAAUAAUGAGAAAAUUCAGUGAAGUAGGGUAUAUAAACUACCUAGAUAAUAUGAAACUACUACGCAAGAAUAAGAGCAUUCAUAGAGCUCUGCUCUACUGCAUACAGAACACAAGCAAAAUAAAUAAUGCAUCAAUUCAGUGCACAAAUCACAAACUUGGCUUACAUCAUCAAAGAAUGUUAAAAGACCCGUAAAAAAAAAGGCUAUCAAUAUAUUAAACAAUAAAAUACAUAACUAAGAGAUAGAAGUAUUUACCAAAUACUUCACUCCUGGUUACUGGGGGUGCGGAACAACACGCCAGAACUGUAGAUCUCUUGAAAAGCCUCUAGGUGGAACUGCAGAACGCCGGCAAAGGUCUGAAUUAACCGGCACAUAUUAGCUGCCUCACACAGUGAACUUUCUGCUUCAGCAUGUGCUGUUGGGUCCAAGAGCGAGAAGUUGCUCACAACAUGGUCAAAUUCCAAAACACUGGAUCCCAAUAGUAGAAGCGAACGGUUCAGAACUUGAACUGCAUGCUUGGCUUGGGACAAGUUGUUCUUCAUCUCUACUUGCCGCUCAGUCCCCGUCAUAUCUCCAAACUUAGACUCGUACACAAGCAACAGCCCCGUAACGAACGCAGCGGCGGGCACAAGAACUCGAUGGGCCCCCUCAAUCUCAGCCAUCCAGUGCCCAGCACCCAUGAUCGAUCCGGCCUCCCGCCGGCCUUGUACUACCUCAUCUAUUCCUCUGCGCCAUCCCCGACCCAAUCUAGGGUUUCAUGGCUGGAGAGGAGGGAGAGGACGGAUGCAAGAGGGAGAGGAGGGCCGGAGAGGACGAGGGGACGGAUGGGAGGGAGAGGAGGGAGGGGGCGGGUGGGAGAGGGAGAGGAGGGCCGGAGAUCUUACCGGAGUCGCCGCCGCCGGUUGCAAGCUCGCGAUCCCCUGCUGAGCGAGCGAACAGGUACGCGACGGGGGUGUAGGAAUUGGGCCAACUUUUUCUAGCCCAAAUCCUGUACCAUCAUUCCAAACAACGAAAUCUGGGCUGACAAUUUGAAAAUAAUUUUCCUGCAUAUCCAAACAGUUCAAAGCAAACAGUCGCAGAUAUUAAGAAGGGUGCAGGAGGGCGAAACGGUUUCAUAGUCCAUGAAAUCUCACUUAGAGUUUUCCUUUUUAAUUGUAAUUUUUCUUUUAAAGGCCGUGCUGCAAAUUUAGAAGCACAUAAAUUAGCUAAGUUCUCGCUAGGUUUGGGUCCAGGCCGUCACAUAUGGCUGGGUCAACCCCAUAAUCCUCGUUGUAUCCCACUGUCUGUGGUUUUUGAUGAAUAAAGUUGGCCUUACCCCUAAAAAAACAGGACAAGAAAAGGCAAAAGACAACUUUAUAAAUAUAAAGCCACGGAUCAAAGUUCACAUCAUCCAGAGAAAGACUAGGAUAAAGUAUCAAGCAAACCGCUGUCUCGCAGCACGAUUACAGCUCAUAGGGAUGCAAAGGCACGUGGCCCAUAACCUACACACUACAAAGCAAAACUAAGGAACCCGCCACAACAGAACUUCAAGGGGGCAUAUGAGGACGACGAUCAUUGGAGUGAAACUCAGAACCCGUGCUCUUGAUACGCGCUAGCAGUUGCUCCACAACAUCUUUAAUUAUCUCCAUCUUUAACAAGAGGAUGCUUCCACUGCUGUAAGAGAGUGAACAGUUUGUAAACACAAUCAGUAGACUUGUUGGGGGAAAGAAUGUUCAAUCGUGAACUUGUUGGAGAUCUACAGAUAAUGCAAGUGCGGUUAACACAAUAAUAAGUAGGAGAGGGAUAAGCGGGUCAUACCCUCCGUUAGGCUAGUUGAUCGUAGCAGCAGCGACAACGACAUCCUUGGAGGCCUACUUGUCCACGAGAUAGUCGACUUUGGAUGACUGACACAUGAUGAAGACAAUGCGGACAUAGACGAUGCAGCGGACAUGGACGAACGGCGGCGAGCAGUCGCUUCCCAAAACCUACGCCCCUCUCACAGAGAAGCGGGGUUUAGCAUCAUGAAUGACAUGGGCGGCACGCAUGAAGAGGAUGUGGUUUGUUCAUGAUGGCUAGGGUUGAUUGACGCCUCACAUAUAUAUGCACGUUCGGGUGAAGAGACGUGGGGUGGACGCACGUCCGAAACGGCAACAACCCACGAUCCGACGCUCAGAUCGUGGGGUAUGAGCUCGGCUCGACUCAUUCCUGCAACCGCAACGCGUCAUGACGAGACGUGGCGGGCGAUGGAGAAGUGCGCGAGGAUCACUUCUCUUCUCAAGCUUCAAUAACAUGUGAAAGAGAAUCCUUUAUAAAUAGGUCCAAGUCCUCCACUAACAAGGUAGGACUACACAUUUCACCAUCCCUUUAUCAUGACACCGACAUAAGCCCUUAGAGAUUUUUCAGAAAUUGUUGGACAGGGCUAAAGACCACCCCAUAUUUCAACAAAACUUCCUUGAAGUUUCAUGGAAUUUUCUAAAGCGUGAAUGUCUCUCCAUUACCAAAAACACGAAAAAACAUCAAUUAGAUUUUGACAUAUCAUUAAUAUGUCAGUCGGAAUAAACGGCAAAUUAUUGCGUAUAUAAUAAUAUUAUAGCAUGAAAACUACACGCAAAAUUAUUGCGUAUGCAAAACCCAAAUAAAUAAAUGCAUGAACGCUCCCUACUUUGCAAAAAACAGUCAAGAAAGAAAAAGUACGCACAUGCAUUUAUUUGGGUUUUAUAAAAUAAAAGCCAUAACUUUAUCUGUCAAGAAAGGAAAAGUACAAAGAGUUUUCUAGCAUUCAAUAUGUUAGAUUCAAAAGCAGGCAUAUCAACUCGAAGUUUUCUUGUGGCAUUCAAAUGAAAGAUGUCCUCAGCAGUGUCAUAGAAUGUGAAGAUCUUAAUGGAAGAAGCUUUGAUGUACUUUAUGCCAUCUUUAAGUUUCCCAACUGAACUAUCAAUAUAUUUCAAACCUGCAUGGACGACUAGAUUCAAUAUGUUUGCACAACAACGGAUUUGAAAGAAGCAACCAAACAGAGGCAAAGCACCGGCAUGCAACAAAUGACUUCUCAAAGAGUUGAUUAAACUGUCAUUGUAUGAAGCUUUAUCAAGCAUGGCAUCAUUUUUGUGUCAAGUUUUCAUUCACGAAAGCACAAGUAAACUUCAUCAGCAAUUGUUGCGCCAUCAUACAGUGGAUUUAGUUUCUUAGACCAAAUUAUCCGCUUGUUUAGUUUCCAUGAAGCAUCAAUAUAGUGACAAGUGAUGCAAAUGCAACUAAAUUUUGUGACAUCAGAUUUCCAAUUUUCAGUUGUGAAGCUAAUCAGUGGCGGAGGACGAAACUUUUUUGAGGUGGAGCGAACUCUUAAGCCAUUUUUUUUGUGCACAACCAACAUAAAUAUUAUGAACCAUCACUGCACACCAAUAUUUUCAUAUAAUCUUAAACAAAAUGGGCAAAUACAAUGAAAACGCAAACAUAUUUUAAGUAAAAAAACAACCUAAAACAUAUUGAUAAGCAAAGAUUUACCCAGGCAACGGUAGUGCCCUACCCUUCUUGUGAAAAUCUUCCUUAAUUUUACAAAGAUCAAGACUUUUAAAUAUCCCUCGCUCAAUGUAAUACACCAUUAACUCAAUAAGCCAUCCAUCGGAUAUCUUGCUGUGCAACUCGGUGUUGAUGAUUUUCAUUGCUGAAAAAGCCCUUUCAACUGUUUCCGUCGCUACCAGUAGUAGCAAUGCCAACUCAAUGAGGCGAUAAACCAUGGGGAACAUGAUGUGCCUUUCAAGUUCAACAUAUUUUUAGCUAGGCUUGCAUUAUCAUGACAAUCUCUAAAAUCUUCAUUUCUUCUCAUAUGCAUAAUGAAUAGCUCAAGGUGAUCUUGUAUAUGUCCACGGUCAUAAUUAGAGAAAUUCGCAUGAUAAAUCUCAGUGAAUGGAGCAAGCUUAUCGAUAUUAAAUCUAGAAAAGGAGUCUCUCGGGUCAAGACAAGAGAAAUUCUGGAGGAGCUCCGAAGAUUCCUCAUUACAACGAUGAUCAAGCUCCAUGGUGAUGGAGACUAUAGCAACAUUGAAGGUGUCCACAUGGAAAAAAUGAUCAACAGUGACAUUGUUUAUUCCACCUUUUAUUGAUUUUCCCCAUUUUGUGAUGGUGUCAUACAUACUUGGUAUUGGAAUUUCAUACUUGACUAGUGACUCUUUGUUGUAAGUUGUUAAUUUAGUUUUCAAACUUGCCCUUUGAUCUUUACAAUCUUCAUGUGUUAUCUUUGACAUAUUAUGGAUGCUAGUUGCCCCACCGACAUGCUUGUGGAAUGUUACAUCUCAGCCCAACAAAACAUUUGACGAUUAUUAUUAGCGAUCAGACAAAUCAGAUCGAUGUAUAUAUACCUAGUUAAAAAAUACAAAAAAAUAAGGUAUGGCGUGUUGGGGAACGUCGCAUGGGAAACAAAAAAUUUCCUACGCGCACGAAGACCUAUCAUGGUGAUGUCCAUCUACGAGAGGGGAUGAGUGAUCUACGUACCCUUGUAGACCGUACAACAGAAGCAUUAGAGAACGCGGUUGAUGUAGUGGAACGUCCUCACGUCCCUCGAUCCGCCCCGCGAACAAUCCCGCGAUCAGUCCCACGAUCUAGUACCGAACGGACGGCACCUCCGCGUUCAGCACACGUACAGCUCGACGAUGAUCUCGGCCUUCUUGAUCCAGCAAGAGAGACAGAGAGGUAGAAGAGUUCUCCGGCAGCGUGACGACGCUCCGGAGGUUGGUGAUGACCUUGUCUCAGCAGGGCUCCGCCCGAGCUCCGCAGAAACGCGAUCUAGAGGAAAAACCGUGGAGGUAUGUGGUCGGGCUGCCGUGGAAAAGUCGUCUCAAAUCAGCCCUAAAACCUCCGUAUAUAUAGGUGGGAGGGAGGGGGCCUUGCCUUGGGGUCCAAGGACCCUCAAGGGGGUCGGCCGAGCCAAGGGGGAGGACUCUCCCCCCCCAAACCGACGUUGGACUAGGUUUGGUGGGAGGGAGUCCCCCUUCCUUCCCACCUCCUCCUUUUUUUUCUUUCUCUUUUGAUUUUCUUCUCCUUGGCGCAUAGGGCACUUGUGGGCUGUCCCACCAGCCCACUAAGGGCUGGUGUGUCUCCCCAAAGGCCUAUGGGCUUCCCCGGGGUGGGUUGCCCCCCCCCGGUGAACUCCCGGAACCCAUUCAUCAUUCCCGGUACAUUCCCGGUAACUCCGAAAACCUUCCGGUAAUCAAAUGAGGUCAUCCUAUAUAUCAAUCUCCGUUUCCGGACCAUUCCGGAAACCCUCGUGACGUCCGUGAUCUCAUCCGGGACUCCGAACAACAUUCGGUAACCAACCAUAUAACUCAAAUACGCAUAAAACAACGUCGAACCUUAAGUGUGCAGACCCUGCGGGUUUGAGAACUAUGUAGACAUGACCCGAGAGACUCCUCGGUCAAUAUCCAAUAGCGGGACCUGGAUGCCCAUAUUGGAUCCUACAUAUUCUACGAAGAUCUUAUCGUUUGAACCUCAGUGCCAAGGAUUCGUAUAAUCCCGUAUGUCAUUCCCUUUGUCCUUCGGUAUGUUACUUGCCCGAGAUUCGAUCGUCAGUAUCCGCAUACCUAUUUCAAUCUCGUUUACCGGCAAGUCUCUUUACUCGUUCCGUAAUACAAGAUCCCGCAACUUACACUAAGUUACAUUGCUUGCAAGGCUUAUGUGUGAUGUUGUAUUACCGAGUGGGCCCCGAGAUACCUCUCCGUCACACGGAGUGACAAAUCCCAGUCUUGAUCCAUACUAACUCAACUAACACCUUCGGAGAUACCUGUAGAGCAUCUUUAUAGUCACCCAGUUACGUUGCGACGUUUGAUACACACAAAGUAUUCCUCCGGUGUCAGUGAGUUAUAUGAUCUCAUGGUCAUAGGAAUAAAUACUUGACACGCAGAAAACAGUAGCAACAAAAUGACACGAUCAACAUGCUACGUCUAUUAGUUUGGGUCUAGUCCAUCACGUGAUUCUCCCAAUGACGUGAUCCAGUUAUCAAGCAACAACACCUUGUUCAUAAUCAGAAGACACCGACUAUCAUUGACCAACUGGCUAGCCAACUAGAGGCAUGCUAGGGACGGUGUUUUGUCUAUGUAUCCACACAUGUAAAUGAGUCUUCAUUCAAUACAAUUAUAGCGUGGAUAAUAAACUAUUAUCUUGAUACAGGAAUUAUAAUAAUAACUAUAUUUAUUAUUGCCUCUAGGGCAUAAUUCCAACAUGGCGAGCGCCCCACCUCGCCCCACCGCUUCCUCCGCCUGCUAGCCCUGCUAGGACAAGUGUGAAUAACCUCCUUCAGCUCUUUUCUAUCUCUUCCAAACAUUGCCAAGAUAUCUCGUUUGAUAGGGUAACGACUAGUGUUCUUGUAUUGAGGACAAGCUUUAUUCAUCAUAGAUCUAUAGCCGGGAUUUUCUACCAUGGAAAAUGCAUGACAACCUCCAAGAAGGAAAAGGGAAAGCACAACUCUAACAUAUUCAUAAUCAAGCUUCCCUUUUUUUUCAAAUAAUGAGAGGCAUCGUCAUUCCUUCCAGAUUUCAGGAAGUAGUUGUUCACUUCAUAUGAAUCAUGUAGAUGCACAUUUUUAGUAUGCCUUAAGAGAUGAGAAGUACCAUUUUUUAAAUGACCUUCCAGAAUCUUAUGGCACUCUAAAUCACUCAGCAAUCACCGAAAAUGUUUCUCUGGACCAUGGUUCAGCCGAACCUACGUUUGACAUCAUUGAUUUCUGGACAUCGUUCAUGGAUCUGUGCAUGGUUGAUUAAAAAAUGCAUGAUGAAAAAUGUUUGCAAGUUAAACAAUGCAUGUCACGAAGUGUUGGAUGUAGUUGGCAUGCAUGGCGUGGAUUCACAUGCAGAAGGAUAUUAAAUCGUAUGACGUGGAACAUAGGUUCGACUGAACAUGGUCCUGAAUCACGCCUGUCCAGCAAUCACCUCAUCAAUAGAAUCCUUUUGAAAUCUUGCGACACUUAGAUUUGAGUUUCAGACAAGGAGUAACAUGUCGCUGUGGCUGUUCAGUUGUAGUUUCAUGACUUCCAUUAGUUGUUGAUUCACUUCUUGCUCGCUGUUUACUUGGUUCAAUUGCAUCAGAGACGCCUCCACCUUUCGGUCUUGCGUGCUUGCGCCUAGCGUGCUUGCGCCUUGCGCCUCCACCUUUCAUCAUUGCUUGUAGCCAUCCCGAGUCAAAUUCGCAGUUGUCUCACCACAUGUAUGACCACCAGAGCCAUGGUCCGUCUCCAUGCCCCGUGCGUACCGCACGUCUCUGCUAUUACCGCGUCGAUCCUCCGCUGUCCCGAUCGAGUCUCAAGGGUCGCGAACCCACACCACUCAACCCCCACUGCAGAGUACCACCGAUCAUCACCGACCGAUGACGAGUAUCACGUUUCCAUCAGACCACCGAGCUUCAGUCCAAACCACGUGUCACUCGCUUUUCCCCGAGUGAAGUCCUUCAGACUCCAGCUCCACCUUCAACAUGAUUCCAUGGUAGAUAAUCAGUCCACCCCUUGCGCCCCGUCGACUUCAAGCUCACAUGUGCACGGUCCUGAAUCAACCCCGCGCCAUAGUCUUGUCAAAGCCACACAAGCACUAGAGCCUGCGUCGCGUGUUUCCACGCCCAGAAGUCAGUCACCAUCAGCAUCACGCUCCUAUGUCGUCUCGCCGAUCCUACCACCGUAUUCUAUACCAACCGACUCGCGUCGAUCCGUCAGACUUUUCAGUCCAACCCAGCCGAACUCGUUCGACUGCACGACACACUCCAGGCUCCCAAAUCGUCCUUCCCGAAUUUCCAUGUGUAACAUGAUAAUUCCAUCUUAGCUGGCUUGACUUCCCGCAAUGCUUUUAAAUAUCUCUGUUGCGCCAACAAAUCUUUCAUCGUUGUCUGUCGUAACCCAAGGUUUUCAGUCGCGUCAAACAUCUCCACCUCAAAACCUGAUGCCUGAUGACGUCAUGAUUCUUCAUACGGCUGACCUUGUGAAAGUUAACAUUGGCCUCAACUCCGGAUGCUAGCAAUUACCUUGUCAACGCCUCUUGCUAAUUCCAAUGGAUAUCAACGUGAUGGAUUUUUCCUUUCCAAUACGAUCAACUCCUGCCUUGUGUCUGUCAUGCCGUAUGAGGACUCGGCCCUCCUUUUGUUUCCAAAACAAAUCUCACGCCGUCAAGCUGUCCUGCGCGCUUCGCCUAGCUAACUCGUACUUGCACGUCUCAGCACCAUAUCCUUGCAUGCAACACGUCCUCCUGUUGAGCCUUGCCUCAUGCUAGCCAACAACCUUGGUCAGGCUAGCCUAUUAGGCAUUGUUGCUUCGCUUGGAUCAUGAGACGCGGCCUGCUCGUGCAUACCCACCCGGCCUACCAUUCUACCUUAGCCUUACGUGCCCCACUGGACCACGCGCUACCGCCAGGGCCUUGGCCGUUGUACCUUCGAGCGUUCCACGUGGAAUCAAUCUGAGUCGCCGCCGUCCUCCGAGACGCCCUCGAGCACCAAUUUGCGAUCGUUGUUUCCGUGCAAUCUACCGCUUCCUGCUGCUUUUGAUUGCUAUCUAUAUUUGCUGACACCUCCAGAUCAAUUUCCUGCCCGUCGAACCAUGCGGACAACAUCGAUCAACGUCGAGCUUUCCUUCUCCUCUAAAUCAACUUCCGCACAGUCUCGAACCUUGCUCUGAUACCACUUGUUAGAAUAAAUCCGAGGCACACCGUCAAUCAUCCGAGGAUCAAGCAAUCACACGAGCACGACACCAAAAUUUGUUAACGAGGUUCACCGAUAUGGCUACAUCCCCGGGGCAUGACUACAGGCGCUCCUCCCCGUGACNGGCGCCGGCACACACCGCCGGCUCCCCCUGCACGCCCGUGUUAUUAUGUUGGCAUAUGUUACAUCGUGUGUCUAGCGCCGUUAUAUAUGAAAGGCCUAGGAUACAAGUGUCCUAUUAGGACACGACCCCAUAUCUUGUCUAAACACAAUACUACUCAGAGUCCAAUUGUAACCUACCGUGUACACAAUAUUCGACACAACUCUAACAAACUCCACCUUGGCGAAUAUUUUCCACCACCUUGAAUUCAUCUGUGCGUCAAACUUCCAUGUACAUUGGAUUUGAGCCUAUCCAUGAACACCGCGGCUACUCCAAAGACUCCAUGUGACUCCACCUUGCAACUUGUAGUUCAUUCUUUUCCUGACCAUAGUCAAUGUCCCGGAGAUGUAGCCAUAUCGAUGAACCUCGUUAACAAAUCUCGGUGUCGUGCUCGUGUGAUUGCUUGGUCCUCGGAUGAUCGACGGAGUGCCUCGGAUUAUUGUAACAGCAGGAGCAGUGAUGCGAGCAGCAACACGUACAUGAGAAACUGAAUGAGUUGGAGCCGCCAGAGUCGAAGUAAGCACAACCGUUAGGCCUUCUUCGCCAUCAUCUACACCUAAUUUUUUUUUCGAAAAGGAGGCAUCGCCCCGGCCUCUGCAUGCAUCCAUAAUCUACACCUAAAUACAACAAAGGUUUACAAAUCAGUCUAACAUCAUGACCUUACAGAGCCUACUAGAUCAGUCCUAUACAUGACUUGCACAACUGAUUGCACGGAUAAACGCUUAAAUCAUCAAAUACAUUUAUGCAUAGAUCAUUAACCAUGAGAACAGACCAUCGACAAUGAGAACCAUGUACACAAAUCAGUCUACCAGUAAUGCGAUGAGGAGCAGCACGAGCUUACCGAGCUGGACGGUGAAUACGAUUUAUUUGACAAUUUAAUCUCUAAUCACCUAUCCUCACUGCUCUAGCGUAGAUUACUCAUUUCAAACCAUCUAACUUCUCGACCGGUCACCCAUCCUUUCACUGCUUCAGCCCGAGCACGCUUAACUUCCUGGUUCUAUCGCCCCUAGUUGCCAAGUCUGCCCUUGUUGUUCUCCUGACAAUAGUAAGCUAUCAAUCCUAAACAACCUAGGGUUUGAUGUCAUGUUACAUGAUUUAAUUUUUUGAAUUUCAAAAAAUUAUUAAAAUAAACAAAAUAAGUGAUAACAAUAGUGAAUUUCAAUGAAAACAACCUAAAGAUUUUAAAUAAAAUUAUUUUUUCUUAUUUUUGUGGAAAAAACUUUUUUUUGCCAUAACUUUUUUUACAUUUGGAAUUUUGAGCAUCUGAGAAAACUUCACCGGGCAAGCCCCGGUGAAAUCGAUGCCCAAUUUUCUCUAGUUUUUUUAUAUAUUAAACUUUUUUUACGUCGUAUGCAAAAGUUAUGGCCGUUUUACAUUUUCCCCUGUUUUGAAAAAAACGAUCAAAAUUCAUAUCUCAAAAUUUGUAUACCAACUAGGCACUGAAACCUAACUACAUCUCAAAGUAUUUUAUUUUUUGAAGAUUUUAGCAUUUUUGUUUAUUUUCUACAAAACUAAAAAAGACGGUCCAGGGAGGGUAGAGUUUGAAAAUUUCAGAAUCCCCCUUUAGCCAAGAGUCCAAUCAUACCCGUCGACUACAUUUGCUAGCACCGUCCUCACCAGAAUCACAACUAAGGUUAACCAAGCCAGAGUUAACCCUUUCUAACUUUAUUUGCUAUGUUGAGCUAAAUGACCCUGAAAUUGAAAAGAACUAUAAUGAACUCUGAAAAUGUUGAAACUUGGCAUGUAUCAUCAUUUCAUCCACAUAGCUUGUGCUAAAAAGUUGAGAGGGUUACGACAAAAACUGGAUGCACUUUGUGUACAAACUGGACCAUCUCCUUCGAAGUAUCACGGUUUCGGACGAAAACCCAUCUACUAGAAAGAUAUUUUACUUUUUUACUUAUUUCAACUUCAGACAUUUUAUGCAUUUUGUGCAUUCAAUAUAAACCAUUCAAAACCACAUCCUAAAUUUCGACCCUUUAUAACUUCAUUUGCUAUUUUUCAUGCAUUUAAUGAUUUUUUGACCUAAAUGACCUUGAAAUUGAAAAGCCCGACAAAUGAACUCUGAAAAGGUUGAAACUUGGCAUCGUAUCAUCAUUUCUCCCACAUAGCAUGUGCUAAAAAGUUGAGAGGGCUACAUCAAAAACUGGAUGCACUUCGUGUACAAAAUGAACAAUCUCUUUCGAAGUAUCAGGGUUUGGAAGGAAAACUCAUCUAUUGCAAAGGGAUUUCAUUUUUUUGAACUUAUUUGAACUCCAUACCUUUUGUGUGUUUAAAAUACACCAUUUAAAGCCACAUCAUAAAUUUUCAAUAUUUUCUGACUUCAUUUGGUAUUUUUCAUGCAUUUACUUACUUUUUUGAGAUAAUUGACCCUGAAAUUGAAAAGCACUACAAAUGAACUCUGAAAAGGUUGAAAGUUGGCAUGGUAUCAUAGUUUCACCCACAUGGCAUGUGCUAAAAAGUUGAGAGAGUUACGAUAAAACUGGAUGCACCUCGUGUACAAACUGGAUCAUCCUUUGAAAUAUCAAGGUUUCAGACGAAAACCCAUCUGCUACAAAUGCAUUUUAUGCAGCAUACUAUAACAUGUUAAAAUCUACAGAAAGUACUAACUAAAAAUAAUAAAAAACAACAAUUAAAUGACUAAAACAACCAUAUAAGCAAAACAAUAUUGUUUUAAUUAAAAUCCAAAUUUAAAUUAUUCUAAAAAUAACCAAAUAAAUCUUACUGUGAUAACAAUCUAACAAAUGAUUAGGAGAAAAAAGAAUUAAAUUAAAAACUAUUUGUAAACUCAAGUUAUUCACAAUUUGGGUUUGAAGCAAAUUUGAACAAAUUAAAAUUUAAACCAUUCAAAUUUUAAAACUAAUUGCACAAACAGAAACUAGACAAAAUUUUGAAUCUAAUGCAAAAAGAAUCACUAAAAAAAAAUCCUAAAAGAUAUAAGAAAUUUAAAACAGAAACUACAAACAGAAAUAAAAUUUAAAAACAGGAAAAAAUAAAAAUACAAAAUCCCUUUAGUCCCGGUUCGUGUCUCGAACCGGACUAAAGGUCUUGAACCGGGACUAAAGGGUAGACCUUUAGUCCCGGUUCGAGACACGAACCGAGACUAAAGGUCCCUUUUGAACCGGGACUAAUGACCGACCGACGCCCUUGCCAUUCGAACCGGGACUAAUGCUAACAUUAGUCCCGGUUCGUAAUGGAACCGGGACUAAUGUGUAAAUUGAGUUGGGACGGAAGCCCCUUUUUCUACUAGUGAAACUCGAUGGAACUCUGACGUCCAGGGUUCGAUCUCCGGGAUGUAGGCCCUAAGAAUAGGCCCGACAACGUCCCAGAUGCAUGUCGCCGCCGUCCAUGGUGAGAGGUGUCAGGUGUGCGCCGUCGUCAUCCAGGGUACUCGUCGCCGCUACGGGAGGAGGAGGGCGGGGGUGCGCGUGAUGGGUGGGGAAUGGCGGAAGGUGGCGGCUAGGUUAUGGCAUGAACAAUUGUGACUCCAUGAUAAAAAAUAGUUUGAGACAUCUAUAUUGAUUUUUUCUCUACAAUGCAAGCUACCUUAGUGGACUUCGUUGAAGUAUAAAAAAUAAAAACUCUAGUGGAGAUGCAUCUUUCAUUUUACUUUAAUUUUUCAGUUUUUUACAUCAGACCAUACUUUUUCUUUCCAAGCACCUGUCUCCUGCAAAGAAUCCCGGACUGAAAGAUUGUGGUUAUGGUAUCAUGCUAGGUUAGGUGGGUUCGGGAGAAUGAUAGAUAGUUAGUGGGCUACUGGAUGUCGGCCUCUAUAUCCCUGCUAGUUGUAUUACUUUUCAUAUACCCAGGCUGGACUCUAGAACCUGAGCCCGGCUCAAAAAUGUUAGAUCUGUUGUUCGGCAUGAGUGACAAGCCCAGCCUGACCCGGUAAUUUUGGGUCGGGCUGCCCAUGUCCAGAUUUAAGUCUGGACUGCGUCGUCUCGGCAUGGUGACAAUAGAUGGCAGUGCUCUAUUGUCUCAAAAAGAAAAAAAGAUGACAGUGCUCCAUUGGGGCAGAGCAGCGGCGGUGUGAACAUGCUGCACUCGACGGAUGGUCGCCGUGGUGCGACAUGGCGGCGGUGUCACCAAAGCUCGUUGGAGCCGUCGUGUCAUAACUCAUAACCCAGGUCCCAGGGGCCAGGAUGACCGGGGUGGUGACGAUGACCCCUUCUCACUUCUCACUUGUGUUGCUUUGCUCAAUGCUCACGGUGGCUGCGAAACGAGAUGCACGAGGGAGGGAACCAAACACAUGAGCGAUCCAUCAUCUGUCGCGGUCUCGCGUCUGUUGGUCCAUAACUGGCACUUGUGGAAUACCAAGGUUUUUUCCUUUUUUCUUAGAAUUCGUGGGACAAGAGGCCAAGUUGGUUCGUUCCAUCCACCUCAACCAUUAACUCAGCCAACAGUUUACUUAACACCGUGUCUCGUGCCGAGCAUACAUGAGGUCCAACGGAUGCCAACUUUGCCAAGUUUCUUUGUCUCAAGCGUGCGUGAUGAGGCUCAACGGUAUGGAGCGUGGUGCUGCAAUAUAAAUAGUACGACGGGUACGUACAGUUUGUUUUGCUUUGGGUGUCUCCGUCUGCAUCAAAUGCAAGUCAUCUCCUUUCUUAUAGAAAUUAAGAUACAUGUCAUCUUACUCCCUAGAAUUUUUUAUUCCCGUGGUAUUUCUAUCCUAUGAAUUAAAGAAGGCCUAGAAACAAAUCCACAUAUUGUUUUUUUUAGAGAAAAUCCACAUAUUGCUACGAAGAAGGUUCCAUGUGUUCUAGCUAGUGUUGUGGGAACUAUGCUGAUUAGGUGUGGCUAGUAUAGUUUAAUUAAUUAUAUAGGACCAUAUGUUGCAAGAAUUGAAGUCCACACAAUGUAAUAUAUAUUAUAGGGUGCCAACAAGUUCACAAUAAUUUCCAAUCCAUGAUAACUCCAAUGUUGAACAACAUAGCAAGAUGAGGAAAAAAGAUCUUUAUUUGAGUCUUUCUACUACAAAAGUGCUUAGAAAAUGGUUCCCUAUUUCAAACUCAGGCUAAGUUUCAUUUGUUCCUGAUGUAAAACUUCCGUCCAUUCUUCCGGCUAUGAUCGAUGUUAAGUGGGAACUGAAAGGUUGAAAUUAGGCAAUGGAGGCGACUAGGCACAGGAGACCUAUAUAGCUUGAUAGUUACUACUGGGACCUAGCUAGGAGGCCAGUUUUUGCAGGAGCUCUUAAUUUUUCUUAGUUUUUGCACAGUUGAGCGAUGCGGAGGAUCUGCUCCAACCUAUAGCGUGAUGGUUAUCUGCUAGGAAUGGGAUGUCUUACCGGCAUUUCAAUGUGAACACUGACGACUUAUGCAACCAUAAUCGCCCAACCAUGCAGAAUGAUUGAUUGCAUGUGUGCCCUGCCCACCUCUUAUCCCCGCCCGUGCUCCCUUGCAACGCCCUCGAGCCAAACUCACCGCCGCCCGCCGCUGCCAUCGUCGACGGCACCUCCUCCGCCCGCCGCCUCGUCCACACGGCUUCUCCUUCCCGAGGCCCAGCUGGGACGCCCGCGCGUACGUGUCCCUCACUGCCCGUACGUAGCCGCCAUCCAUUGCACACUUGCACGCACCCUGUGGAGACGGAGGAUCAAGGUAAGCAUGCAUGCAUCAGACCAUCACCCAUGCAUGCCCAAUUUACUAUCUCGGCGUUUUACUCGAUCCGGUUGGUUGAUUUGGAAUUGCAGUCGCUGUUCCCGGGAUUAUUCUUGCUCUCUCGGGGAAGGUCAUGCGUUCGAUUUGUAUGGGGUGAUUGCUUUGUAGUGAGUGAUACUGCAAACUGGAGGAACUUCUCAGGCUUCCCCAUUUUUUUGUUUUGUUUUUGGAAACGUCGGUCGAACCGUUUCGACCGGACGCACCGUGUCCGUUCGACCUGCGCGGAUCACGCGUUCCCUUUUGCACAUGCCGCCAUCGCCCCUCGCGUACCCCCCCCCCCCCCCGCCGCGCGCUCCUGCGCUGUUGCCGUCGACGUCACCGGUCCCUGCCUUCGUCAGGCAGAUCCACGGUGUUCCUUCAAGCCGGCGUGCCUCCCCUGUUGGAUCUCAUCCCGCCGACCGUCAUGGAGUCGCAUCGGAUGCCAUCGGUGUUCGAGACGAAAAAGCUAUGACAGAGACGACAAUGUUGCAACCGGCGACGAAAAAAGCUUUAAACCGGCGAUCAAAAAUGCUACAACCGGCAUUGUCGAAAGCUUCAACCAGAGACGAGGGGAAUCAAGGACGACCCACCACGUAAACCGCGAAUGCUGCAACCGGUGAUGAAAAAAGUUUCAACCGGCUAGAAAAAGCUUCAACCGACGAGAGCGAAACACAAAAAGCUGCAAUCGUUGAGACAAAAGCUUCAACCAUAUGUUUGAAAAGCUUCAACCACAGACCAACGAGAAAAGCCUGUCAUUUUUGCUACAACCAGCAAAAAGCUUCAAGCGACAUGGAAAAAAACUUCAACCGUUGUGGAAAAAGCUUCAAGCGACAUGGAAAAAGUUUCAACCAAAAUGAAAAAAGCUUCAAACCGAAGUUUGGAGAGACAAGCCUGUGCACGCACGAGCAUCGACGACGACGACGGGGGGAGAGGGAUGGUGUGCUUGUGCGGCAGGAGGUCGGAGGCACGUGGGGCUGUGCGCCGACGCAGAGCGGGGACGAGAUGCCAGAUCUGACGGCUAUCAACCGGCGGGAACGCUCGCACCGGUGCGCCGGCGUAGAGCGGUGCUUUUUUUUUCCUUUCCGGAUUGCUAUAUCUCAAUAGAUUAAGAAAUACGAGAACUAGGCUGUAGCCUAGUGGCAAGGGAGCGCAGUGGCGUCUCCAGCAACCAGGGUUCGAUCCACGUCGGGGACGAAUUUAUGGUUUCUCAUGAGGGAUGCUUCUUCUAUAUCAAUAAAACCAUGGGUGCUAGUGCCCAUGGAGUUUCAUUAAUAGAUUAAGAAAUACUAAACCACCGUAUGUUCAUAAUGAUUCGUGAAGAUUUUUUUUUUCCAUUUUAAGAUUUUUUCUUUUAUUUUUUCUGCACGUGUGAGUAAUAACUAGAAUUGCACACAACCAUAUGGCUAUAUGUCGCAACUACGUACUGGUUCAACCACAUCAAUCUAGCGCAAUUGCACCUUUGUCGCUCUCGGGCUAGUUUCGUUGCUCCAUCUAGGCGUAACUACAUGUCUGUUUCUCACACACAUGCAAGUACAGUUUUACUCCCUUUAUAAACUACUCCCUCCGUUCCUAAAUAUAAGUCUUUGUAGAGAUUUAGUAAACUACAUACGGAUGUAUAUAGACAUACUUUAGAGUAUAUAUUCAAUCAUUUUGCUUCGUAUGUAGAUCCUUAGUGAAAUCGCUUAAAAGACUUAUAUUUAGGAACGGAGGGAGUAUAAUAUAAAAAUAUUUAGAUUACUAAAAUAGUAAUUUAAAUGCUUUUAUAUUUCACAGCGGCCGGAUUUGGAGGCAUGGUGAUGACGACUCAUGGGUAGUGUGCGCAAUCCCAACGCCGCCACAGCGGUGGAGAUCAAGGGACGGCGGUAUUCUUGCAAGCACCUUCCAUAGUCGCCUCCACCGCCGCAGAUCCCAUGCCCUCUCCUAGACCUGCGGUGCAGGUCCCGACCAUGUCUACCUUGCGGGCAUGGCAAAAGGAGGCGGCCAUGGCAUAAGGUCCAUGACAGGGCGGCAGAAGAUGGAGGUAGAGGGAGGGGCGGCGGCGGCGAAUUUUCUGGGAGCAAGGAGAAAAACGAGAUCGAGAGGAAGGGAGGGGGGGGGGGUGGAGGAGUGGGACGUGGGGUGUAUGUUUCUGUUUUUUUCUUCUAUUUUUUAGAAGAAAACGUGGGGAGCGGCGGACACGGUAGGUUGGAUUGUGCGAGGGAGUGGGGCGGGGUAUCGAUUGCCAGGUGGGGAAUCAGUAGAGGUGGUCGUACCAUCAUGACGGCAAAUUCUUUUUUAAUAAUAGAGAUACACCUAGCAUAGUAUUAGCUCGCCAUCCAAAUCGGUUAAAGAUAGCAUGUACGACUGUCUUCCACCGGUUGCACCAAAUAUCCAUAAGCUCCCUGAAGUUCGCAGGAGUGAGUAACCAUGUACGGAUCCAAGCCAUGGUUCUGUAAAUAACCUGCAAAAAAUUAUUAAAGUUCUUGCCAUUAAAAAUCAUAUCGUUUCUAGUGUUUCAUAUAGCCUAACAUAAUGCACUUAUUCCAAUCCGAAUAUAAUUCGCUAUAGUUACGUCUUCUUCAUUGAGCCACGUCAUGUUUAUAUUGCCCAGUGUUGUGGUAAUUUGUUGUCUAGAUAGCUCUCGAGUAUGCAUAAUCUAUAUAUACCAUACUCCUUUUUAUAUUGGCCAGUGUUUCUGCACAGUUAAAAGGCUUGGAAAUGGUGAGAGGAAGAGGCUAAGCAAGCUAUACCUGUUGAUCGUGCUGCUUCGUGUAAGGCCUGUUGCAGGCGCACAUGCUCUUGCCCGGAAGGAAUUUUGCAAAUGAAUCAAUGUGUGCCAUGAAGAAUAAGCAACGAUACCAUGAAAGUGACUUGCCAGUGAAACUGACAUUCCAAUCCUUAAAGGAGGUCACAAACAACUUCGCCGACAAACUUGGCAGCGGUGCAUCUUCAGAAGUUUACAGGGUAUCUCUAUCCCCACACCCCAAUCUUAUUGCGCAGAUAGUACUAUAUAUCAUACUUUGCACUGUACUUUAUCAAAUUAUAGAGCAUAACUCUGAACAGGGAGAGUUCGAUGGAAAAGUGAUUGCCGUAAAGAAACUUCCAUUCAGGAUUGGGAUUGACGAGAAGCUAUUCCAAAACGAAUACGAACACCUUAAGAGGCUCAAGCAUCAUAAUAUCGUGCGGCUAGUGGGCUUCUGUGAUGAAACAGAGCAUGUAUUUGCAGAGUACAAAGGGAAAACAAUAAUUGCCGAAGAAAUACAUAGGGCACUCUGCCUCGAGUUCCUACCCAACGGACCCCUUAGUGACUAUCUUCGUGGUAUGUUGGUGUCGGUGAUUCAUUACAGGUACGUUGGUCAGCAUGUAAUCAAAAUGUGAUUCUUACAAUUCGACUUCCCAUUGUGUGCUUGCAGAAAAAUAUACUGGACAUAGUUGGUACACACGGUUCCAGAUAAUCAACGGGAUGUGUGAGGGUUUGAAAUAUAUUCAUGAAGUUUCCGUUGUGCAUUUGGAUAUAAAGCCUGGUAAUAUAUUGCUAGAUGCGAAAAUGAUACCGAAAAUUGCGGAUUUUGGAUUAUCAAGGCUACUGGUCGAAGAAUGCAUCAGAGAGGCAACUCAGUUAGGGACAAUGUAAGCAUACUGGUUUUAAUUAUUUACACUCACAAUCUCGCUUUAUGGUUUAUAUGAUAAUGAUUUAAUGCAGUGGAUACAUACCAAGGGAGUUCAUAGACAAUCAAGUUAUCUCAAGAGAGUUUGACAUCUUUAGCUUAGGGGUUACAAUUAUGAAGAUAUUGACAGAACCAAUGGACUACUGGAACAUUUCUUACAUGAAUGACAAGGAAUGUAUUGAGCAUGUAAGAACCCUUUAAUCAUAUUAAUAUUAAGAGAAAUCGUUCUAAUAUUUAUAAAUUUGUAGAGUUUAGUAUAUCAUCUAGGGUGAACUUAGUAAAGUUAAUUAAUAAAGGGACCGUAUGCAUCGCUCUGGUGCAGUAGCCGAAGGUAAUCCUCCUUUUCUAAAAAAAAUAUAGGACGAACUUAGACACCUAAGAGCAUCUCUAGCAGACCCCAUAUAACGUCAACCUGUAAAAAAUGUUUACAGUUCGCGAAAAAACGACUUUUUGGACCGGCACGGACGAGGGCAGAGCCAUACCUCACAAAACGGACCUGUAAAAAAAGAUAUUUGUAGAAGAUGCUCUUUUACGCGUCGAUUCGAGUUACGACCGAACAGACCCCUUAAACUUAAACUGUAAAUCGAAUUUUCGCUUAUAUUUUUCCCCACAUCUUCUUCUUCCUCUCGCCUGUGUCCAUGGUCAACUAAUUUCGUUCCUAAAAGCGACCGUAUGAAACGGCUAAAUACGGAGUCACCGACCCUGAAUCCAUCUAGGAGCUAGCUUGCUCCUCCGUCCACGAAUCCAUCCAAGAGCUAGCUAGAUAGCUAGCUCCUUCGUCCACGAAUCCAUCAAGGAGCUAGCUGGCUCCGUCCAUGAACCAUCUAGGAGCUAGCUUCAUCCACGAAUCCGUCCACGAAUCCAUCCACGCUCCGGUCCUCAAAUCCAUCCAGGAGUCAGGAGCUAGUUAGCUAGCUUCCGUCGCCGACGCCGAAUCUGGCCAGGACGAGCAGGGCGGCUGGCAUCCAAGGACGGGCGGUCGGCGUCUGGGGACGGGCAGGGCGAUGUCCGGGGCGGCGCACAGUGGACGUGGAUGACAGACGCGGAAGUUUUCAUGACAGUUGUGCUCCUGUCAACUGUUUUCUCUCGAUACAGGGCACCGUAGAAGCGGACGCGAAAACUGUGGUUUUUGCAGAUCGGAAGGAGCUUUUUACCGCGUCCUGUAAAAAUAUUUACGGGUCCGACGCAUUUGCGGGGUUUGAUCGGGCAACUUUUUUCGCGUAGGCCCGUAUUUUGACAGUUAUUUUACAGAUCGGGGCAUUAUACAGGGUGUGCUAGAGAUGCUCUAAGCUAGCUAUACUCUGUGCGUUCGGUGGAGACAGUGAUACUUGUAUAUUAUCCCUAUUAGUGCUUCCUGCCUGCUUGAUUUUGAAGGUACAGGACAACUGGAGGAAAAGGUUUGAGGAGAUACCACGGUAUCCAUGGCUUGAAGAUUGCAAACAAGUAAGAACUUGUAUUGAGAUCGCACUACGAUGUAUGGAUCCUGAGCGACUUAAUAGGCCUUCGCUGAAUCAUAUUGUCAGUAAGCUGAUUCCAGUACGAAGGACAGUGGUACCUUAUACGUGCGAUGUAGAACGUAUAUCUGUCAAUUAUAUGCCUGCCCCUUUUUUCGAAAAGGAGGAACUUAGCCCCCAGCAUCUCAAUUAUAUGCCUGCCCCUUUUUUCGAAGAGGAGGAACUUAGCCCCCAGCAUCUCAAUUAUAUUCCUGCCUGUUUUACAUCGGAUUCUGGUUUUGAAGUGGAGUGUAUGUCUGCCAAUUCUACAACGGACUUAUGGUUGCCGAUAGACAUCCAGGAGAUAGACACUCCUCAGAUGCCUUCACCAGGUUGGUGCUAGAUGUAGAUGUUCUCUCAAUUUCCAGUAUUGCUAGUGUGAAGAUUUUGCUAGUGUGAACUGCUAUAGCUUAUUUGUUUUAUCAGAACCGGAAGAUUCACACAUUCGCACAUGUGAACUAUCGUUCGAGUUUCUACGAGAAAUUACUAAUGAUUUUUCAAAGGACCGAAUAGUUUCUGAAUGCGCAUCUGCGACAAUUUUUAAGGUAUAUACUUCUGCUCUUUUCUUAGUAAGUUAACUAUAUCUCAUCUGUAUUGCCAUGCAUACAUUUACUGAUAAGUGAAGUUAAGCAGGGUAUACUUAACUCUGGAGAAGAGACUCGGGUGAAGAGGUUUAGGGCAAGUAAAAAGGAUAUUCCAGAUAAGGAGUUUCAGAAUGAAGUUGGAAAGCUCAUGGAGAUCAAACACAAAAAUAUAGUACGGUUACUCGGCUAUUGCAACGAAAAGAAGAGGGAAGCUGUGAAGCAUGACGGGAGAUAUAUUGUGACAUGCAAGGUAGAAACUUUGCUAUUGUACGAGUAUGUGCCAAAUAGAAGCCUUGACCAAUAUAUUUAUGGUAAGAUAAUUCGACAUAUGUUCUAUAUUACUUGGGGCUGCUACCAAUCCACCGGUGGAUAUUUACUAAAAAUCCAUCACCUCCACAGCCGUUCGAUCUCGCCCAUAGCCGUCCGAUCCGCUCCUGAUUUAAUUCCUGAAACGACGUUCGAGUUUCAGAAACAAUCGCUUUGUUGCAAAAAAUAAACUUUGGAUCCAUUAAAUACUGAAACAACGGUCGAGUUUCAGAAACAAUUGCUUGUUUCAGGAAAAAAAAUGUUCGUCUUUCUGCAAACAUGGGUGCUGUUGCGGAAGAAUUUUUUGCAGCGGGCUGGGAUGGGGCCGCGCUACGGCGGUGCGGGGCGACGGGCGGCGAGGCGUCUAGCCCCCUGGUUGCGGGAGCUCGCCGGCGUGGCCGAGGGGCUACGGCGGAGCCGAGAGCGGGCUGGGACGCCGCAGCACUCCGGUGGUGUGGGCGACGGCGGCUGGCCCUGGCCGCGUGAGGCGAGGCGGCUGCCCCCUGGCCGCGUGAGGCGAGGCGGCUGCCCCGUGGUCGCAGGAGCUCGCCGACGGGGCCGGGAGCAGGGCGGGGAAGGCCAUGGCAACGGCGGCAGCUCCGGCGAGGCUGAGCGGCAACAAGCAGGCGGCGGGCGAGGUCGCCGGAGCCGAGGCGGAGCCGAGGCAGGGGCGGCGACGGAGGGCACGCGAGGCCGCGGGCAGGCCGACGCCGGAGGCCGACGGCGGAGGGCGGCGAGCCGUAGCAGGCCGGCGGCGGCGAGGGUUGUCGGGCCGAGGCGGAGGCGGAGACAUGGACUGGGUAGUUUUCCGAAACAACGCUCCAGUUGCGGAAACAACGCUCCAGUUUCAGAAAAAGUCAAGACGAUUGCGAUGACGGGAUCGAACGGACGAGCAUGUGGUGGAUGGAUCGCGCAGAUCCGCCGGUUGAAGGAUAGAGUUUUCCAUAUUACUUUGAUUAAAUUGCAUAGUGAAUCAUAUAUGUUGAUUCAGGUUUAAAACAGGAUCCAGGUAGGACCUCGAUCGGUCUAUCAUGUUCUAAGAAAUAAAUUGGUAGUGAUGACCUGUUUGAUCUCAUCAAACAUUUAAAAGUCAAAAAUAUGAACUUAGAUAUCACUCUUAGAGAAAAGCUAGCAGUAGCGUGGAUUUUUUCCGUAUCAAUAACGUGAGUGACCUCUCUACUACUAAGACGCUACAACUAAUAGUUAGCAGUAGCGUUGGCCGGACAUGCGCUACUCGUAAUAAACGUAUCAGUGGCACAGUUCCAAGCCCUCGCUGCUACUGCUAACUAUUAACAACAAAGUUAUGUUCUCCUCGCCACUACCAAUUGCGUAUAUUUCUUUAUUUUAUAUUUAUACACGGUUAUACAUAUUAAUAUAGAACAUCAAUAAUAAUUGUGCAAGAAACAACAUUUAGAUUAAAGUGGAUGGGUGCAAGUGAUUAUGUUGGGUUAGUAGAAAAAUAAUGAUAUUACGACGACACACAAGUGUCGAAUAAAGGGAUUUCUACUAAUUCAACUUGAUCACUUGCACCCAUCCACUUUAAUCUAAUAUGUAUCAUCUAAUAACUCAUCAUCCUUAGUCACGUAACAACUUGUCAUCAUCUUAAUCAUCUAACAACUCAUGACAAGUUAACCAUUACUACACAAUGCCAUAAACUACAAAAGGUCAUCUCUCUUAGCAAGCACAUACUAUUCUUUCAUAGGUAGAACUUAUUACUCUCUCCUAGGUAAAAUAACAUAAAACAGGCAAGCUCCUUCCACUCCAUCGUGAAGAAUAGAGAUCUAUCUAUCUUCGACAUAUGGCCUGCGCAAAUCCUUCGCGUCUCCGCAGUGAUUAUCUGCGGUCUUUCAUUAAUUUGCUAAAUAUUUUGAGUUUCAGGCUAGCACCCCUUCUAGAAACCGAGUAUGCAUUGCAGAAACACGUAGGAAACCAUGAUCAUAAGCUGAUAAUAUUCAAAUGACCUUCUAGAGACAUCAUGCACAACCUUUGAUGGGAAUUUCUGUUGAAGAACAUAAUUAGCAAUCUAGUUUACAACCUCUGGUGGCGCCGGUGGGCGUUCUCGUCGUUGUUUGUCUCGUUCUAGCCCCCCCCCCUCCAACACACACAGAGACAUCUUAGCUGUCCAAUCUUCUUCAGAUUAUGAGAGAGCGGAAUGAAUUUGUAGCCUCUAGUUCGGUGUUGCGGUGAGCCCCUGCUAUGCAUGUGGAUGCAACUUGGUGUGGUGUGAUACCGACCAUGCAAGGCGCUGCGUUGGACCCAUUAUAUUUGCGUUGUAGAGAGUUUGUAUGAAGGGUUGCAGAUCUCAUGUAGGUGACUGACAAAGUGGUUUUUUGUGGAGAUGGUGAGCUGGUAGCAGAUAGGUGGUUUGGCUGGACUUGGACUCAGAGCAGGUGCGAGGAUUGCGAAACAUCACUGGGUAAAGACUUUGAUCUCUGCCACUAGCCUUGGUAGGCAGCAGUCAUGCUCAAAGUCAUCGAUUCCUUCUCGAAGGCGUCAUUGAGGUGUUGUGCUCGUCCUGCCAUCCGACAACGCUGGGAAAAUCUUAGAUCAUCUUGAGGAUGUAACGAUGGUGGUGCUUGUGCAUCACACUCCCCUUAGUGGCAUCCUAUUUGGAGUUAAUAUUGGUGGGUGGGACUAGUGGGGAAUCUCAGGGAGGCUGCCCUUGAUCCAUUUGGCAUGUCGAUUUGUUUCAAAAUGAUGAUGACCUUGAAUGGGUUGCGUCGUAGAUUUAGGUAGUCGACUCUACCUACAUGUCUGAUGAGCCUUUUGUGCUUUGCCAUUUGUUGUCGAGUCAGAGCUGCCAUGGAGCAAGCCUCGACAGCGAGCGAGUUGACAUGGGAAGGGUGGUCGUGUGUGGGAGUCUCAAUCGGUGCAAGCCGGGCAUAUUUCUCCUUUGAAGUUAGUCAUCAAAGUAGGAGUUGUCUAUAAUUUUUACGGGUGUGGUCAAUUGUUUUGCAUGGGCCACAUGGGAUUCGUGUGAUUGUGCUGAUCAUCAAUUCGUUGAUGGUCGCCUGCAAUGAAAUUGGAGUUACUCGAUCAAGGGUGAUGGGUGAUGACGAUGACGCUUGUCAGCAGCUUAGGUAGACGUUCUCUUCUCUUUGUGUGCGUGUGGAGAUGUGUUACUAGCCAGGUUGGCUGAUGGUGCCCUGUGCUGUCAUGUUCGAUGACGGUUGUUCUUUGGGCGUGAUUGUAACUUUUUUGUCUGGUUUUCCACGAAUUAACUAGCACUCCCACAUUCUUCUGAACCAAUGGAAAUGGCAAGCCUUGUCUUGUUUAAAGAAUGGGAUAACUGUAAAUGAGAGUUUUACAUGUUUUAAACCACCAGUUUCUUCUAUUUUUUUAUGUAGGUGAUUCUUGUCAACUUGAGUGGAAUAUGCGCUUCAAGAUAAUUUUGGCCAUUUGUGAGGCGUUGCAUUUCUUACAUACUGAGUUAAACAAGCCUAUCAGUCAUCUGCCUCUUACUCCUGAGAACAUACUAUUAGACAAAAAAUUGGUACCAAAACUUUCAGAUAUUGGUCUAUCAGAUUUGUUUGAAGGACUAUCCCCAGAGGGCACAGAAUAUGAUCCGGAAAUAAAGUAAUCUCAGUAUAUAUUUUUCUUACACUAAUAAAAAUAAGUUGCAUUUUUUCAGUCACUUAAUGAUUUGUAUGUUGAUUUUAAUGUGUUUCAGUCGGUACAAGGCUCCAGAAUACAUAAACAGAUACACUAUUUCAUUCCAAUCAAACAUAUACAGCUUAGGUCUCUUAAUAAUGGAUAUCGCAACAGGAGAGAAGGACAGCUCUCAUGCUCGACAAACCAUGGAUAGUAGCCAUUCUGCGAAUGUAAGUCAAAUCUUGUUCAAACUUUGAAGAAUGGUGAUAUAUUUUCUGUGGAACUUUGUUGUAUCUUCUUUUACUCGGUCCCUUAAACACCGUAUUCAAAUCUGAUAGGUACGUCAAAAGUGGACGGAUGAAUACAUAGCAUCAAAGUAUACAUCACUGGAUGUCACUUGCAUUGGUCAACUCAGAGUAUGCCUCCAGAUUGCGUUAUGGUGUGUCGAGGACAACAGACAGGACAGGCCAUCUAUACGGGAAAUUGUCAAUACACUGAACAAUCCAUAUAUAGGCAGAGCAUUAAACAAGGUAUGCAUCUUCAAAACCUAAACCUUGUACCCAUUUUUGCUCCAUUUAGUUAACAAGUGUAUUGCUUCGGUCAUCCUCUCCUCACAAAAGUUUACGGAUCAUUAAAAUUGUUUACUGAGUGAGAAGGGGGAAAAUAGUACUUUGCUUUCACAAUUUAUAUAUAGUCCCAUCAAAGAUGGAAUGUACGUGAAUUGCAUCUUGUGCCUUAAGUCAUGUGAUAUUGCUUAAUUUCAGGGUGGGUACCCAAUGAUUGAUGUGCUUUUAUGAGUAGGAGAAUGCUAGAUUACAUGUUGCUCACUGGCUGCUUCGUGCAAUGGUGCUCCAAGUAUGAAAUCAUCCACGAUAUUAGAAAUGAAGAUAAACCGACUUAAAUGCCUCCUACAUGCCUCCAGUUUAUGUUGUAUUGGGAUAUAGAAUAUGUGCAACAAACUUAAGUUGCCUGCCGCUGAAAGAAUUUUUCAUCGCGCUGAGACACAGAUAAAACAGACACGGCUAAUCUGCAUCCGGGCUCAAAUAAGCUCGAGGAUGAACAGUAAAAACACAAAAAUAAGAAAAAUAGAAGAAGAAGAAAAAAUAAUUUUUUGGCGUGCAAGAUACCCCUGCACGUGAUGUCCGUGCAAAAUUUGGUGAAGUUUGGACAUUCGAGAAGAUCAUGAUAAAAAAGACAAAUUCUGGGAAAACGCCACUUCCGAGCCGAUUUUUUUCCUAUUUGCCACGAGCUCCUCUAAUGUCGUAUCACGAGCUCCUCGAAUGUUCAAACACCCGCCCCAAAUUUUGCACCGACAUCAUGCAUUUGAGAAUCUUGGAUGAAAAUAAUUUAGUUUUUCUUUCUGCUAUUUGUUGUUUGAUUUUACUGUUCAUCGGGUGCAAAUGAGCCCAUCACCAUUUUGAAUUAUCGACAUAAAACCUAGGAUUUCAUAUCAAAUAGGCAUAAGUACAAUUAGCUUUACUAUUUUUUUGGCAAGAAUAUGUGCAACUUGGUUCUCACCUUCCACACUCCGUAGGGUUUUGCCUUCGCAACAAAUAUAUAGUAGAAAUCUCAUUUGUCUCUUAUAUUACCUUGGCAAGCUUGCACCCACACCUUGUUAUGUGUUGUUCUUUCUCCUUGUGGCCAUUACACUGCUCCAAAUGUAAUAUGUGUCGUCAAUAACAUGCAUUACUGAAUCUUCUCCGGCGUGUAACUCAGUGUUUUCUUACCUAUAUAUUAAUCUUAUCUAUACUAAAGUUUAGAAUGCGUUGAUAUUAUUUUAACAUUUAUUUUGAGGGGUACCAGUAUUCUUUUCACUUGGAAAUUGAAGUAAAUAAUAUUUUUUCGGUGAGGUCUGAAAAAGGGCAUCCAAUAUUCUGUUUCCCUAGCCCCCAGAAUCCCAGGAUCGGCAAAACCAAGAGGGGGUUAGGUAAUCAAACAAUCACCAUACAAUCGCGGGUCUACACAGAUGAUUUCACUUAUGUACAUAUAUGCUAGGUUUUAGACUUUGAACUCUAUAAGGAAAAUAUGUGUACUAAUAUUGCUUGACCCAUCAUGUUGCAUUGCUUGCCUUGGUUGCUCCUCCUCAUCCUUGAAUCUCUCACUCUGCCACUGUAUAUAAUCGCAUGUUUCCCUUGUUUAGCCAGGAGUCGGUCCCAUCUUAUUGUUGAGCGUGCAACCCCAGCGUCUCUGCUUCCCUCUCCCUUCCACAAGGUUGAUUUCCCGCCUGUUGUGCCUAACAAACAACAAGGAUGAGUGUAUCGCCUUCAGGCUCCUCACGGAUAACCCAGGGAGGUACCAUACAGAGUUGCCGCUUUGCGGUAUUGUACCGCCAAAGUGCACCUACACUAUCAACGUGGUAGUGCACGAGCAGACAAAGCAGCUACCAUCAAAUAGCGACGAGUUUUUGACCCUCAUCUGCACAACAACGCAUGAGAAGGAACUCAAGAAUCUCGACGCAGACUCUGCCGCAGUCCUUUUUGGGAACCCCGAUCAUGAGGUGCAAGAGAUGAUGCUCCCUGUUGUUUGUGACUCAUCGGAAGAGACUAUCUCUAAUCAGGUUACUUAAUUCAGUGUUAUAUCUUCUUCAGUUGCUCAGAUUGGAGUUGCAUGCUAUAGCUGCUUAGCGCCAGUUCUUUUGGGGCUUGUGGAUGGUUGUGGAAAUAACCUUGCCCCUUUCAAGCUUAUUCUAGAAGUCCAACCUAUAAUUUCUUUUAGAAUCCUACUAAUUAAGGGUUAACUAGUAGGCUUUGUUGGAUUUAGAACGCUGAUUAAAUCCCCCCGCACACGAUUCGUGCAAGCUAGUUAAGCUAGCAAGCAAUUACGUGGAUGGAUUCUUGUACGAACAGCCCUACGUUGACUUCGGCGAGUACUAGCGAGCGGAACGAUCGAUCGUCUCAACAGCUCGGAACUUAACUCAGCGAUUUAAGCUAGAUAGAGGAAAUACUCUGUAUUACUUUGCUCUGGUUGAUCUGGUACAAAAACUACACAGGGGUAUACGUAUAUAUAUUGCUAAACUAGGCCUACUACUAAUCCUACUCGGUUUGCAAUACUAACCAAAUUAGGACACACGUGUACGUUUAGACUACAACUAGGUUAAUUACUACAUUCACCUCCUUAACCUUGUUGAUGUGUCUUCAUUGCUUGCACUCCGACUUUCUUCCUCAUCUCGAUGAACUUCUGUCGACCAAGGGACUUGGUGAAAAUAUCGGCAAGCUGGUCCUUCGUAUUCACGUGCAGAACUUCUAUCAUCCCUUCCUCAACGCACUCCCAGAUGUGAUGGAACCGGGUAUCUAUGUGCUUGCUCCUUUCGUGAUGAACCGGAUUUUUGCACAAUGAGAUUGCAGCUUGGUUGUCGAUCUUCAAUAACACCUUCUGCACCUCCCGCUUUGCAAGAAUAGCUAGGAGUCUUCUCAGCCAAACUGCUUGACAAGCUGCCGUGCUUGCCGCUAUGUAUUCUGCCUCGCAUGAAGACAGUGCCACCACCUUUUGCUUCUGAGAAUUCUAGCUAAUCGGAUUCGGGCCAAGGUAGAAAACCAUGCCCGUUGUGCUCUUUCGGUCAUCAACAUCACCUGCCAUGUCGCUAUCUGAAUAUCCACGAAGGAUCAAUCAUUCCUUUCCCUUUUUGUACGUGCAACCAAAAUUAAUGCACGUGGUUUCUGCUCUUUAGUUUGGCUCGCCUUACCACAACCUCUCCCACGGAACUUGGACUUGUCCGAGGUCAAGUGGUUUCUGCUCUUUAGAUUGGCCCGCCUUACCACGACCUUGUGGUUUGCCUUUUUCUUUGCCUUUUUCGGUUUGUCCAUCGCCCUUCGUGUUGCUUGAGCCUUCGCCACCGUCACGCCUUCCUUUGCUACUUGGGGCCUCCCAAUCUGCGCGCGAGUACAUGAGUUGGUCAUUACCUCCUCCUUUGCCUUUCCGACAGCCACGAGCAUUCUCUUCCCAUGUACGCAAUCGUCCGAUCGCCUCUGUUAUGGUCAUGUCGUCGAUGUCGUAAAGCUGCUCGAGCGUGCCGAUGAUGUACGUGAAUUUAUCAGUCACUGAACUGAAAAACUUCUCCACGAUCUCGGUCUCAUCGAGCUUUGCACCAAGCGCGCGGAUCUCUCCCACCAAAGUAGUAAGACGCAUGGCGUAGUCAUUCACCGAUUCAGUUUCCUCCAUCUGCAACUUGUGAAAUUGGCGCUUCAGCACUUGUGCCCGUGCCUUGGUGACGCGAUCUUCUCAUAGCACUUCAGCACUUGUACGUGCAACCAAGAUUAAUGAUGCCUUUCACAUAGCGUAGAAUUUGAUUGACCGCGCUCAUGUGCUCGAUUGUCGGAUUCUCCAUGAAACGACUCACGAUCCCGACUGAAUAAGCCAAGUCAGGUCGGGUAUGCACCAAGUAUCUUAGGCUGCCCACAACGCUUCGAUACAUUGUGGUGUCCACCGGCGGAUUUGAGCUACGCUUGCUCAACUUGUGACGUUGUUCCAUUGAAACUUGUGUCUCGUAGCAAUCUGACAUGCCACACUUUUCCAAUAACUUGACCGCGUAGGCCGAUUGACAUAGGGAAAUCUCUCCGGAGCUUUGCUUCACUUCGAUGCCCAAGUAAUAGCUGAGUAAUCCCAGAUCACUCAUGCUAAACUUGUUCUUCAUUUGCGCCUUGAAAUGUUCAAUUUCUUGUACGCUAUCUCCGGUGGUAAUCAGAUCGUCGGCAUAAACUCCGACUAGCAGGUUUGAGCCUUUGGAGUUCUUUGUAUAGACUGCGUGCUCGAGGGGACAUCUCUUGAACCCGAGCGAGACCAGACUUCGGUCUAACUUUGAGUUCCAAGCUCUUGGCGCUUGCUUCAACCCGUAAAGUGUCUUCUUGAGCUUGUAAACUUUCCCUUCUUCGCCUUUCUUCUCAUAGCCGAGGGGUUGUUUCACGUACACUUCUUCUAUGAGAUCGUCGUUGAGGAAAGCGGAUUUAACAUCCAUAUGAUGAACCUUCCAAUCCUCUUGUGCUGCCAAAGCUAGGAGCACUCUCACCGUCCCGAUUCGAGCAACCGGUGCAAACACCUCAUCAUAGUCAACUCCUUGACGUUGUACGUAGCCCUUUGCAACGAGUCUUGCUUUGUACUUCACAAUGGCACCCUCCGUGUCCUUCUUUAACUUGUAAACCCACUUCAAACCUAUCGUCUUUUGGUUUGGAGGUCGGGUUACCAAAGUCCACGUGCCAUUGCUCUCAAUCACCUUCAUCUCCUCGUCCAUGGCGUGCGUACAGCUAGGACUUUUGCUUGCCUCUACGAAGUUCGCCGGCUCCUCAACUCCGAACAGACAUAGUCCGGAGUACUCGAGCGUAACUGGCUUUGUGUACUUGUAGACUUUCUUGAGGGUCUUGUAGCGACGAGGCCCUGAGGAAUCCGUUGUGGCUUGCGAAGGAGGCGACACAAAUUGUGUCGGUGUUGAUGCACUUGAGGAAGAUAGCUGAGACCCGGGCGUGUCAUCGACAUCCGUGUCGUCGGCGUAGUCGUCGUGACCGUGACCAUCAUCUUGAUUGUCGUCGUCACUAUGCGCCUCGUUGUCGAUGUUGUCGUCGAGAUCUCUACCCGUGCCGUGCGCGUCGUUGUCGCUAUCUCCUUGCGACCUAUGCGCGUUGUCGUCGGUGUCGGCACCAUGAUGAUCACUACCAUUGUGGUCACCUUGGUUGGGCGUCUUGCCAACCACCUGGACAUCCUCCCCUGGAUCAUCAUUAGUUGGAAAUUCAACCGUGAAUAUGUUACCGUUUGGAGCACCGUCGGCUGCUGCACUCCAAUUCCACGCUUUGUUUUCUUCAAACACGACGUCGCGUGAAAUCCGUAGACGCUUGGUUUGUGGAUCAUAGAAGCGGUAUGCCUUGGUGCCAGAACUUCUCUCGUAUCUGAUGAACACCAUCUUGGUGCUACGAUCGGCAAGCUUUGAGAGGUGCGGCUCCGCCGUCUUCACAUGUGCCGCGCACCCGAAUGUCCGUAGAUGAUACACAUUCGGCUUACGUCCGUAAAUUGCUUCAUACGGAGUCUUGCCGAUCACCGCCUUCGUUGGAGCCCGGUUGAGAAGAUAGACCGCCGUCGAGACAACUUCUCCCCAAAAAGUCCCCGGCAGGUUCUUGCUCUUGAGUAAACUCCUUGCCAUGUCAACGACGGUUCGAUUGCGCCUUUCAACGACCCCAUUCUGUUGCGGCGUGUAAGGUGCCGUGAGGAACCUCUUUAUGCCAAUCUUCUCGCAGUAGUCGUUGAACUCAUUCGACGUAAACUCUCCGCCGCGAUCUGUCCGUAGAACGCGAACCUUCAGCUUGUGUUCCAUCUCCGUUGGAGCCUUCCACUUCUUGAACGCUUCAAACGCCUCAUCUUUAGACCGUAGGAGAAUGACCCACAUAUAUCUCGAGUAGUCGUCUACCAUAAGGAAGAAAUACUUCUUUCCAGCGUGAGUUGCCGGGGUGAUAGGGCCACAUAGAUCACCAUGGAGCAGCUCGAGUGCAUCACUUGCACGAUAGGUAGACUGAGCAGGGAAUGGCCUGCGGUGCUGUUUUCCAACCAAACACCCGUCACAUACUCGAUCAACAUGGUCGAUAACUGGCAUCCUGGAUACCAUCUCCAUCUUUGACAUCUUCUUCAAGGCGUAGAAGUUAAUAUGUCCAAAUCUAGCAUGCCAUAACCACGAAUCAUCAUCACUCUUGGCGAGCCAACACUCCGGUUGAGAUUGAUCAAGGUUGAGGAUAUAUAGCCUAUUCCGUGUGCGAUUAACACGAGCUAGCACAUUUCGGAGGUUGUCGAAGAUCGUCAUCACUCCGUUCUCGAUAUUCGCCUUGCAUCCAUUCUCGUCAAGCUUCCCAAUAGAGAUGAUGUUGUUGCGAAGCCGUGGGAUGUAGUACACUCCGGUGAGUAUGCGAUGUUCGCCUGUGAGACCCUCAAAGAGGACAGAUCCUUGCCCGCAAAUCUCCACAGCCGAACCAUCACCGAACUUGACCGAGCCUUCAACAUCGUAUUCCAGCUCGAGGAAUUUCUCCUUGCACCCCGUCAUGUGGUUACUGGCACCCGUGUCGAGAUACCAUGACACGUUCUGAUCACCGGAUAACUUUGGUGUCACUUUUUCCUCAUGAAGUAGCACCUUCCGACUUGGUUUCACAACCACCGUUUCAGUGAGAUCACAAACUUCGGCCAUCAGAAGACCUGGACCUUCGUCUUCCUGCUUUGCCAAAUUUGCCUUGAUCACCCGCUUGUUAGGCUUUGGACAAUCCUUCACAAAGUGACCCAUCUUAUUGCAGUUAUAGCACUUGACCUCGGACAAGUCCAAGUUCCGUGGUUUUUGCUCUUUAGAUUGGCCCGCCUUACCACGACCUUGUGGUUUGCCUUUUCCUUUGCCUUUUCCGGUUUGUCCAUCGCCCUUCGUGUUGCUUGAGCCUUCGCCACCGUCACGCCUUCCUUUGCUACUUGGGGCCUCCCAAUCUGCGCGCGAGUACAUGAGUUGGUCAUUACCUCCUCCUUUUCCUUUCCGACAGCCACGAGCAUUCUCUUCCCAUGUCUGCAAUCGUCCGAUCGCCUUUGUUAUGGUCAUGUCGUCGAUGUCGUAAAGCUUCUCGAGCGUGCCGAUGAUGUACGUGAAUUUAUCAGUCACUGAACUGAAAAACUUCUCCAUGAUCUCGGUCUCAUCGAGCUUUGCACCAAGCGCGCGGAUCUCUCCCACCAAAGUAGUAAGACGCAUGGCGUAGUCAUUCACCGAUUCAGUUUCCUCCAUCUGCAACUUGUGAAAUUGGCGCUUCAGCACUUGUGCCCGUGCCUUGGUGACGCGAUCUUCUCCGAUCCUCAUCUCAUUGAGUGUGUUCCACGCCUCUCUUGCCGUCUCGAACUCCGCCAAUGUCAUCAGCACGGAAUUCGGCACAGACUGGGCUAUGGCGGCCAUGGCACCUUUGUCGCGCUCCUCGUCGACGUCGUCGUCCGUGAUGGCCUCCCACACUCGAAGGGAUCGAAGAAUAAUCUUCAUCUUCACCGCCCACACGCCGCAGUUGGCGUCGCUGAGCAUCGGGUACUGGAUGGGGAUGUUGCGAUGCGCCUGGACGUUGGCGCCGCUCGUUCCUCCACCACUGGUUGCUGACUUGACGCCCUUCUUCACCUUGUCGCCGUUCUUGUUCGCCUUGGCACCGCCGCUGCCGGACUCGACCGACUCAGCGUCGCUGUCCGUCAUCGUAGAUCGUAGAUCGUCGAGGCUCUGAUACCAAAUGUUGGUUUUUGAACCGUAGAACAAAACUACCCAGGAGUUACACAAACGUACGUGCAAGCUAGCAAGCAGCUGGAUGAAUUCCUAGCAAAGCUAGCUAAGCUAGCGAUCGUACGUAUCCGGCGGAUCGCAGCGAUUCGUAACUCAACGAGAAACCUAUCGAUGUAGUAUUGCUAGAGGCUCGUCUGGAGCCUGGUAAACUUCUGUAUUGCUUUGAUCUGAUCUGGUACAAAAACUACACAGGGGUACGUAUAUAUAUUGCUAAACUAGGCCUACUACUAAUCCUACUUGGUUUGCAAUACUAACCAAAUUAGGACACACGUGUACGUUUAGACUACAACUAGGUUAAUUACUACAGGCUUGUACAGAAAUAGGUCAUGCUUCUAGAAUAAGCUAGGUAGAGGGCACCUUAUUUCCACAGCCAGCCAUAAGCCCUAAAAGAAUGGCCCUUAAUCAGUUAGCACACGGGAGGAAUUCUCUAACUUUGAUUAGUUCAGAUCAUAGCCAGUCAGCAUUGCCGAGUGGUUCCAUCCGUUGAUGUUCAUUCAAUCAGCCAAAAUUACCGGCAGGUGUUGUCCAUAGAUGUGCAUCCAAAGGAGCCUUGGUGAGUUUAUGCCCUCCUAGUUUCUAGUUACUUGGUGUGCGCAUCUGUGUUUUGAUUCCUCAGUGUGAAGUGCAGGCUAUUGACGACCAACCAAAUGGGCACUCUUUGCAUUUGGAACUACCAGAAGAAGGUAUGUGAGGCAGGACCCCAUGACCAAUAUCUGUAGGAAUGUAUUUGUUUGGUUUAGUCCCACAUCGGUUGUGGAAAGAAGCAGAUCACGACUUAUAACGACGGGAUGUCCCUCCUAUCAGGAUAGGGCCUAAGGCCUCUCAUAAAUCUCGCUCAUUGUUGGUAGGAUGCAGGGGAGGGCCCAGGAAUUAACAACUGUGUAUUCAAUUUUGAAAAAUAUAUAUAUUUGAUAGUCUAUGGCCUUCCUUUUGGGCGUAUAUCCAAUUCUAGAAGCAUAUUAUACUAGUUUUGAACUAUAUAAAAGAUACCACAUAAUAUAAUAUACUCAUAAAUAUUGAUCAUAACUUGGUAUUCUUCAGAGUACAGAAGUAAAACAUUGUUCAACAUAUCAUGAAAACAUCUAAAAUAUAUAGAGGAUAUAAAAUAGUAAAUGAUAAAAACUUGCAAAUUACAGGAUAACUUUGCGAUCCUUGAUGCCUUGAAAAUGUGUGAUGAUGUCCUCAUCCUUAACAUGCAAGAAGAAAUCCCUUUCAACAAAUGUGACCAAGCAAUCAUUCAAGUACUUUUGCCCCAUCUUGCUUCUUAGCUUGUUUUUUAUAUAGUUCAUUGAUGAAAAGAACCUCUCAACACCGGCUGUUGCAACAGGAAGAACUAGCACCAAUUUGAGAAGUUUGUAAACAAUAUUAUACAAAAGAUUCCUCCCUGUUUUAACAAGCAUCAUAGAUAACUCUGCUAGACUUCUCAAGUUUGUGAAAUUUUAAUCAUUCUUCACAUCACUAAUAUAGAGAUUCAAUUGAAAAGGAAGUUGGUGCAUUUCUUCAAAUUCAAAAUCACGAGGAUAGAAUCCAGCAAGCUUAACCAAGUCAUCACUAUUAAAAGAAGAAAAUGACUUGGCUGGACUAAAUGAUGCCAUGCAUCUAAGUAGGUGUGUGUUUACCUCAUCAAACCUGUUAUUAAGCUCCCGAAGUUUCCUAUCAAUGACACCCAAAAACAUAUCAGCAUGAAACCGGUGGUAAUUCAUGGCAUUUUUGCAGAACGCUCUCUGUAUAGGCUUGUACUUCCCAUCCAUGUCAACACAUGUGACAUUGUGCUUCCCACAAAAAGAAGUGACAUUUUCAAGGAAUUCUUUCCAUCCAGCAUCUUCUCUUAGAACUUGUAGUUGUACCUUUGUGAACUCAAGAAGAUCAAUUGCAUUUACAAUAUCUUGAUCCCUGUUUUGCAAAUCAUUGCUCAAGUCAUUUGUGUAUCCAAAUAUUUCAUUCAUCAAGUGCAGCAUGAAAAUAAACUCGAAUGAUUUAAAUACUUCCAACAUAGUUUGAGCUCCUAAAGCCUCUGCCCCAUUACUUUCUUUCCCAAGCCUAAAGAGAACUUUCCUCAUUGAAGGAUACAAAUACAUAACAUGCAUUACCGUUUUGUAGUGAGAUCCCCAUCGUGUAUCACCAGGCCUUGCUAGGCCCAUCUCUUGAUUCAAACCUUGGCCAGCUUCAAUUUCACCUAGUUUCAAUGCUUCAAUCAUAUACUCAGACUGGGCUACACGAAGCAUACAGAUCUUUUUACAUGACAUCCCAAGAACAUUCAACAAAUAUGCAAGGUGGCCAAAGAAAAGAGAGCACUACAGAAGGGAUGCAAUUAGCAAUUAUACUUCAGUUCAACUUGCAGUCGUGGCUUUGAACCUGAAUCAAUGAGAUAUAUUGUUGCUGUCGCAGGCUCGCAGCCUUGCACGGUAGGGAGCGAGGGAUUCGUCGCGGCGCCGCGGCGGCGGACCUGCAGACUGCGGUUCGUCUAGCUUCUGGUCGAUCAAUCGAUCUACUUUUUCGGCCAUGAUGUACGUGUGCGUCGUUGCGAUGCAUUCGUGGGUGGCUGGGCUGGGUAGCUAUGGGCCAAGUACGUGUGCGCCCGUCCGUGAGGAUUGAGGAGCCUAUGUUUUGGGCUUAAUUGAUUAACUAGCACCGGUAGCGUACCAGUUUCGCUUUUUUAUACAUAACAAUAUAUAUACCUAUUUUUUGUUAACAUUAAUGGGUAUUCAAGUGAAUUCCCUUGAAUUGAGGUGGGCCCGCCCCUGGUAGGAUGGAAAUGCUAGCUGCUGUUAGCAGGCCCAUGGUGAUCAAUGUGUGAGGGGGAGAUUAUUGGGUUUAGUCCCACAUCAGUUGUGGGGGAAGAAAGAACACGACUUAGAGUGCAGGUGUCCCCUCCUAACAUGCUAGUUUUUUAGGGGGAGAGGGCCUGAGGCCUCUUAUAAGUCGGUGUUGCUCUCAACUGAUCCUGGUGACGCACGUGGGUCGGAAACGCUGGUGUUAGCGGAUCCAGUAUUGCAUAACGGUAUUUUUGUUGUACUUUUGUUUGUGGUUUUUAUAUCAUUGUUGAGUUUUCUUUGUACCAGACUAGCAAAUGAGCCCAUGCAUUGUAACGGAUGAAAAAAAUACUCACUAAUCCAAUAACCAUGAGUUCAUAGGUCCAUGUACUUUAUUUUAACACAUGGCAUCCCAUUUGUGUUUCUAUGUAUCCUUCUUUCCACUUUCGUGGACACUAGCCUUAGUGUUCACACCAACACAACACGUUCUAAUGUUGUCAAUCUUAAGACGCCUCCCUCAGCAUAUAAUGAUAAAUCUAUUUUUUCUGUGAAGUUUCGAUGAAGGCAUGCAUGCAUGGUUAUAAAUAUUUUUUUUCCCAUCUUGGAUGCUGGAGUGUUUAUUUUUAAUUUAGAUCGGCACCGGUAUGAAAGAAAGACUAAUCAUGCACUAUUGAUUAAAAUUUCAUCAUAAAUAAUAAAAAAAAAUGGUUAACACGUAAAAUAAUAUCAUAUUCAGAUUCUAAAUAUUUUACGAAUUAAAUUUCAUAUAUAACAUGUUACAUUUGAAGUUAUGUUAAAAAGAUAUGGAUUUUAAAAGAAUCGAUUCAGAUGUACUGCGGGUUGAUUACCAGAAUCCUGGUAAUCAACCCGCACUACAUCUGAAUCGAUUUUGUACUACCAUCGGGCAUAGCUUCCUGAAUUCGGCUUCUCGGAGCCCAAACGUUCGGGACAAUUUCAUCCGUGGAGUUUGUGAAGCUCGGAGCUGGAAGACUUCGGAAUAUUGCCCUAAAUAGCCAUGUUUCUUUUGUGCAGGAAACGUUGAACUCCUUGGAAGUUACUCCAGGAGAACCAGGCAAGCUUUCUGACUUUUAUAUCCACAUUUCUCUGCUCAUGAAAUUUAUUUGAUUUACAGAAAAAAAAGGCUUAUAGCCGACCGAUUUUUUUUUAAAAGGAGGCGUUGCCCCGGCCUCUGCAUCGACUGAUGCAUGCAGCCAUUUUAUUGAUAACGCAAAAUGGUCCGAGACAAAACUAUAAGGUAGUCUGAGAAAAGAGAAAAAAAAGACAAAAGAAAUUACACGGUGAUCAGACCACCGAAAAGCCGACUACAACCCACAGAUAAGCUGGCUAGGGACCAAUCCUAUUAGCAUGCCGCCAUCCAUAUCGGUUGAAGAUAACCUGAGCUACCAUCUUCCAUCGGACACACCCAGUAACCAAAGGCUCCCUGGUUUCCACAGGAGUGAGUAAGGACCACGUGCGGAUCAAUCCGGUAGCCCUGAAGAUGACCUGCAAAAAGUUAAUGUGAUGUAAUCUGUUAAAAACUAGAUCAUUUCUGCAGUUCCAUAUCGCCCACAACAAGGCACAAGUUCCAACCCGAAUUAGUUUGGCAAAAAGUACAUUAACCCCGUUUAGCCACGUCCCAAAUAACAUGCGAAUGCUAGUAGGUGGGGUAAUGUUAAAAGCAAUUUGUAGUGAGCGCCAUACUAAUUUCGCCAUAGGACAAUCCAGAAAGAGGUGUUUAAUCGACUCAUUCGUUUGACAGAAGCUACAUCUUUUAUUUCCUUUCCAGUUUCUUUUAGCCAAGUUAUCCUUAGUUAAAACAACUCCCUUGUGAACAAACCACAUGAAGAUUUUUAUCUUAAGGGGAACCUUGACCUUCCAAAUAUGUAUGGACUUUGGAAUGGACGACGUAUUAAUAAUAUGGUUGUACAUUGAUUUCACUGAAAAAAUACCAUUGGUGGUCAGCCUCCAACGAAUGCUGUCGGGAAAAUCAGACAGGGAAAUAUCCAUCAGUCUUCUGACUAGCUGUAACCAACUUACCCAUCUAUUUCCGAUCAAGGCUCUGCGAAAUUGGAUAUUAAGAGGAGUAUGCCGCAGUACUGCCGCAACGGAAGUCUGUUUUCGUUGUGCAAUAUGAUAAAGUUGCGGAUACUGUAAAGCCAAAGGCUGCGGUCCUAACCAAGUAUCUUCCCAAAAUCUAGUACUUUCACCGUUCCCAACGACGAAUCUAGUUCUGUUGAAGAAAGCAGCCUUUGUCCUCAUUAGACCCUUCCAAAAGGGGGAAUCACCCGGUCGCGCAGUGACUUGGGCUAGGGUUUUGUACUGUAGAUAUUUGUUCUUUAGAAUUUGACCCCACAUCCCUUGUGAUUCGACAGACAAUCUGAAUAACCACUUGCUAAGCAGACAUCUGUUCUUGGCCUCGAGAUUUUCAAUUCCCAAACCCCCCUGAUCCUUGGGUCUACAAAUAAUAUCCCAUCUAGCAAGUCUAUAUUUAGUCUUGACCUCAUCACUCUGCCAGAAAAAUCGAGAUCGAUAAAAAUCCAACCUUUUCCUCACCCCAACCGGCACUAGGAAAAAGGACAGGAGAAACAUUGGCAUACUUGUCAACACUGAGUUGACAAGAACUAAACGUCCUCCGUAGGAUAGAAGCUUGCCCUUCCAGCAACUUAGCUUCUUCUCAAAACGAUCCUCGAUACAUCUCCACUCCUUUAUGGUCAACUUUCGGUGAUGAAUGGGGAUACCUAAAUAUGAAAACGGUAGCAUGCCACCCUUACAUCCAAAAAGUUGGUAAUACGUGACUUGUUCAGCUUGUGCAUCCCCAAAGCAGAAAAGCUCACUUUUGUGAAAGUUAAUCUUCAACCCAGAUAGUUGUUCAAAUAAACAUAAUAUGAGCUUCAAAUUUUUGGCCUUAUUGAGAUCAUGUUCCAUGAAAAGGAUCGUGUCGUCCGCAUAUUGUAGGAUCGAGACACCCCCAUCAACUAGAUGCGGUACUAGUCCCCCUACUAAAUCUUUGUCAUUAGCCCUCCUGAUCAUCAGCGCCAGCAUAUCCGCUACUAUGUUAAAUAAAAUAGUAGACAUAGGAUCUCCUUGCCUAAGCCCCUUAAGCGUCUGAAAGAAAUGAUCCACAUCAUCAUUUACUUUAACACCGACGCUUUCUUUUUUUAUAAAACAAUCCACAUGCUUUCGCCAAAUAUCACCAAACCCUUUCAUACGUAGAGUUUGUUGCAGGAAAGACCAUUUAACUUUGUCGUAUGCCUUUUCGAAAUCCACCUUGAAUAUAACUCCAUUCAGUUUUUUGGAAUGUAGUUCAUGCAGAAUCUCAUGCAAAACGACAACCCCUUCAAGAAUAUUCCUACCCGGCAUAAACGCUGUCUGCGAAGAUUGCACAACCGAAUGUGCCAUCUUAGUUAGCCUAUCCGUUCCCACCUUUGUGAAAAUUUUAAAGCUGACAUUGAGCAGGCAUAUAGGACGAAAUUGUUCAAUUCUGGAGGCACCCUCUUUCUUCGGUAAUAGCGUAAUCGUACCGAAAUUAAGAUGGAAAAGUUGCAGGUGACGAGAGUACAAAUCAUUGAACAUAGACAUAAGAUCCGCCUUAAUAAUAUGCCAGCAACGUUUAUAAAACUCAGCCGGAAACCCGUCUGGACCAGGAGCUUUACCACAUUUCAUACCCUCAAUUGCCUGUAACACCUCUUUCUCUAGGAAUGGUGCAGAUAGACUCUCGUUGUCGGCUUGUCCAACUUGAGGAAUAUCCGCAAUCUGAUGCUCGUCCAUAGACACAAAGCUAUGAUCUGGAGCACCAAACAACCGUUUAUAGUAAUUUGUGAUGUAAAGUUUAAGGUUCUCAUGCCCUACUACGGUACCCUCAUCUUGCUCGAGUUGUAUGAUUCUCUUUUUCCUAUGUUUGUCAUUUGCAAUCAAAUGGAAAAACUUUGUGUUAUUGUCCCCCUGGACAAGUGCCCUAACCUUGGCUCUGACAACCCAUUUCAUUUCCUCUUCCCUUAGCAGCACAUGCACCCUUUGUUCGGCCUCAUAUUUUGACGACCUUUCAUGUUCAUCUAACAUGACGGUCUCAGCCUUACGAUCUAGGGCAUCUAUAAAGUGAAGCAGUUGGUCUUGCUCCUCUUUAUACUGUCCAGACACAUUCUUAGCCCAACCUCUCAGGAAUUGUCUAAGAUGUCGGAUUUUGCGUUGCCACAUGUCGACACUUGAUGUCCCAUCCGUAUGUUUACUCCACUCUCUAGCAAUAAUGUCUAAAAAUCCCUCACGAGAGAACCAACUGGCCUCAAAUGAGAAGGCAUCUUUUUUUCCUUUGUGUGUGGCAUUUCGAGAAUUUAACAAUAGUGGAGUAUGGUCAGAUAUAGCCCUCUGCAUGGCACUAACUGUGACUAGAGGGAACUUCUGCUCCCAGUCAACAUUAGUCAGUACUCUAUCCUGUUUUUCGAAAGUCUGGUUAGGUAAGGAAUUUGCCCAAGUAAAUUUCCUACCGGAAAGUUCAAUCUCCCGCAGAUUCAGACUCUCUAUGAUCGUAUUAAACAAAAAGGGCCAUCUACCAUCAAAAUUAUCAUUGCUUUUCUCAUCAGGUCGCCUAAUGAUAUUGAAAUCACCACCCACCACCAGUGGUAGAUUUUCAUCGCAGAUUCUAACCAGAUCAGCCAAGAAAGCAGGUUUGAGCUCCGUUUGAGCGGCACCAUAGACCGCAACUAGUGCCCACUGAAACUCAUCUUCCUUGUUUCUAAUUCUAAAUUUUACUGUGAAGUCACCUAAUAUUACUUCACACACUUGCAGUGUAUUGCAACGAACCCCGAGUAGGAUCCCUCCGGACCUUCCUCUUGGAGGGAGACAAUGCCAUUGAAAAUCCACUCCUCCAGAAAUGGAGUUAAGAAAGUGCGAUGUAAAGUUAUCCCGCCCCGUCUCCAUCAACGCGAUGAAGUCAAGACUAUGCUGUAACGUUGAUUCUGCAAGGAACCUAAUUUUAGCCAAGUCUCUAAGACCUCUGCUAUUCCAAAAAAUUCCUUUCAUAUUUCAUCAUAAAUUUUUUUUGCAGUCUUGAAUCUAGCACUCCUACGAACAGCCGAUACUGGAUAAACUCUUCGUUUCGAAUUGCGCCUUGGUUUAUCCGAAGCAUACUCCUGGUCCAUAUAACCAUGAAUAUCUUUGGCCGUAUCAUUAAGAUGGGUAGAAGAUACGUGCGAAUCAUCGAACGCUGCUUGCGUCUGUCUAAUUUCCUCUUCACGUAGUAAGUUUUGACAUAUUAAAUUCACUUCCCCCAUAUCCGAUAUCUCCUUAUCAUUCAUAGGUCUAACUGCCACUAAGUUUCGAAUAAUAUCCAAUGCCCUAUCGACUUUCAAGUCUAAUAAGUCAUUAAUAGAUUUUGAAACUUGUUGACUAGUAUCUCCCAAAGACACCCCCACUGCCUUAGCAUUAUCUAAAAUCUCUUGCGUAGUGAAAUGAAGAAUAGAAUGUUCAGUAUUAAAAUUCAUACCUGUUGAAUUAUGAACCUCCUUCAUUUUGGCCAUACGCAUCGCCCGACCAAUCUGCAGGUCAUCCGCAUCUGGCUGUGACUGUACCCGAUGACUGGCGCGUCUAUCCGGCCCCAUCGAAUUGGUAACACCUCCAAAAGCUAUGACUUCCUCAACCGAGAUCGAUCCAGACUCUGGUGCAGUGACCGUAGGAAUAUGCUCCGAACCAGCCAUGGGCAAUGGACCCUCCACCGAGACGGCAACCACCUCCGAAUUGUGGUCGGAGUUAGCAGCAGAAAGGACAUAACCUGUCUGGUCUACCCGAUCGCUAACUAACACGUCGGCGCAAACUUCCUGUACAGUCACUGUAGUAGGCCGAUUGGCUGCCUUAUGCAUGUGGCUAUCCCUAGCGAUCACCUCGGCAUACGUAUCCAGCACGUCAACCUGAGCAUGCAUAUUCUCCUCGUGGGCCUGACUGUCAUGCAGUUGAUCAGCACACGGAACGAACCCUGCGUGGGCGUCUCCUGCGCUGACAAACCCCUCGCCGCCAUCAACCUGAGCAACCCCAUCAUGGUCCAUUCGAUCCUCAGAAACAACACCCUGUGCUGGCUGCUCUGCUGAUGCACCAGUAGAAAACUGCAGUAGCCCCGCCAGGGCCGCAUCUUCAGGCGAGAGAAGCGAAGCCUCCUGGCCGAGCGAGACGUUGGUAGUGUCUGCAUGCAUCCGCAUGCGCUGCGACAUGCCAUCCACCAGCGGCUGACAGUCGGGGUAUACGAGCCCAUCUGCCUUGCUUCCCUCCAUACCAGCAUAAGCAGAUCCAGCGCCAGUCAACCCCUGCACCGAAGAAAGAGUAGUCGACGAAGCCUUAGCCCCCACCAAAUAUUCUUCGAGUGACAAAGGUUCCAGCGCCGAUUUAGACUGCACACUUCCAAUAUAAGUCCUAGGCUUCUGUCCCAAGAAUCUCGGCAAACUAGAGUCAUUUGAUCCCGCACGAGAUCCAAUUUUUGCCGGCGCGGAAGAUGGUUCAAAAGCACCGAAACGCAAUUCCUUAUGCAGAUCAGAGUUUGUUGGGCCCAAAUCAGCGCCCAUAGUAGUCUGAUUUUGCUGCGUAUUAGAUGUCUGCUUAGGGAAACUAUUAGGCCCUGUGUCAUUUGACCCAUCUGCAUUAUCUUUGGACCCACUGGCAUCAUCGCCAUCAGUCAUAUGAGUGUCUUUAUCUGUAUCAGGGACAUCAAAAAGUGUAGGACUCUCAAUCUCUAGCUGAAGAGUGUACCUCAACCCUUCAAAGGUCCAAAUAACCUCAUCUGGAACUAGUUCAAUAUCAAGAACACUCACCAGCAUUCUGGCAACACCUUUGGCUCUAGUAUAUAUCAUAUCCACCUCCUCAGUCUUACCAAUAAGCGAGCCCAAACUCCAUGUCACCUGAAAAUCAUUGGUCGCUCUAGAUGGAGCUCCUGCAAAAUGCACCCAAAUCUGGGGUAAAGGUCUCCCCUUCGGCUCUUCGCAUUUUCAUGCAUCAAACUCAAGCACUAUGCUCGUACUAGCAACCCUGCACAUCCCAAACUUCAGCAGUCGGGCUAGAUCUUCCUUUGUAGGAAAAACAACCGUGUAAACAUUACCCGCUAUCAAAACCGGUUCCCAUCUGAAGGUUGGAGAGACUAGCUCCUUAAGCUGCUGCACUAACUGCUCCACAGUGAGCGCCCCCCUAGUCACCGUAACUGUACCCGUGAAGCCAGCGUCAGGGGCAUGAAAAUUUGCCAUAGCAGCUGGUGACUCAAAGAACAUCAAGUCUUGACUAGAGACACCAUAAAUAGUAACGACUGGCAGAGACCCAGUCGUAAGAGGACACUUAGCAACCCCAUGCGUAAGCUUCAAGUAGUAUACACAUAACUCUGCCUUACAUUCCGAGACAAAGUGACCUGUCUCACUGCAACGGUAACAUACCAUUUUCUCUUUCUUUCGUGCCCAUUUAGAAGGUCUCUCUGGCCCAUCUCCCUUGGCGUUCACCAAGCUUUGAUCAGCCAUAGACGAAUCCGUCACCUCCUUUACUUUUUCCGUAUUGUCGACUAAGGUAGAAGCAAUAGGGUCUACUGGCUGGACGGGAGCUUCAACAGGAGGUCUAGGCUUCCUACCACCUCCUCUGCCAAUCCAAUUCUGCCUAAAACCUCCUCUUUUCGGAUGCAAGGUCCAGAAGGACCCGGGACAAACCGCCCCGGUGGUGCAUUGAAUCCGUUUCCUGCAUUCCCAUCGUUAUUCCAAGCAUUCCCUCUCCCACCUCUAGCAGAUGCACCCCCUCUAUGAUGCACUUCGCCAUAACCGGCAGAACCAUCAUCCCCCCAUCGACUGCGCGAAUGAUAUGAGUUUGCGCUAGUUUGCUCCCUGGCCUGACCUGCUGCUCCAUUAGGCAACCUGCCGGCAUGCGCCGGUACACGAGCGUUCCCCGGCUGAGCAGCUACCGUCGCAGUCGCCGCCUUUCCUAGCUGUGCAUCAGCCGUCGCCGUUGGCUUUGCCACAGACGGGUUCCCCUGACCCGCCUGUUGCCCCGACGGGCGAUGGAAGGGCGCUUGCUUUGAGCCCCGAGCCGCCAUAGAAAGAGAAGCCGGCGCAGGAACUCUAAGCGCUCUGCCUGGCCCCAGCAAAGGGAAUCCAGGGUUUGAUCUACGAACCCUAGUUCGUGAGGGAGUAGGACAUGGUGCGAGAUGGGUUUCUUCAGAAACACCGCCGCUCGUGAUCAAGAGAAUCGGUCUGCUGAGAUCAGGUGUAUCCUGGGCCAUAUACCCCGACGACACCGAGUCCAGAUCGGCCUGAUCUUGCGUAGCUGGUAAGUCCUGGGCCAUAUACCCGGGCAUAGUUGUUUUAGUCGAUCUCGCAUCAGGCCCAACAGCCGUUAUCGCGUUCAAAAAAUCAUCCCUAAACUUGCGCACAGCUUCCACGGCCGGCGCCCCAGAAUCCCGCUCAGAAUCCGAGAAUAACGCGGAUGGCCGAAGAACACUGGGAACAUGACGUUUGUUCUUGGGUUUCUUGAUCCAACAAUCUGGUUUAAUGAAAUCUGAAAGAGAAAUAGGGUUACGAACUACCUUAGGGAUCGGCCCCUUCCAAGGCUUCCGCGGAGGAGGCUCCUUCUUCCUCGCCAGGAUGGGAUCGUGACGAAGCUUGCACUCCUGGAGCACCUCCAUGGACGGGGAAGGCGUAGACGGUGAAGGAGCUGCCGACGCCUCCGCAGCUGCCGGCUCCUCCGUUCGCAUCUCACCAUGUUCGUUCUGCAGCUCCUCAUCCUGCUCGGCGAGGCACCAAAAAUGACCACCAAAUCGAACAGGAGGCGAAAACUUACAUACCGAGUUAGGAUCCCGGAUCUCGUCGUCUGCAGAACUGCGGGCGAUCCUGUCAUCUGUCUUGUGACUGAUCUCCCCGAUCGUGGCGACAAUGCCACCAAUCGCCAGUCCCAUCCCCGCCUCAUCGCCGCUAUGCGUAGGCCUAUCUCGGCGCGACUACUCAUCAACAAACUUGUUUUCCUUUUAAUUUCUUGUUGCAGUAUUUCUCGAUUUACUUUUACCCCUUUAAAUAAAGUUAAAGGCGGGAGCACUACUUAGCUUCAUGAAUUAACUUCCUUUGCACAUGAACCUCUGUUAAAAAUUAUAACUAUAUAUUUUCAAUUGUAGUAUAUUCCGCAAAAUUUAUCGAACCAAAGCAUUGGUUCGUGACUGGGGAUGGCGAUGGAUACAUUCAUGUGUACAGUUAUGAUACAAUGAAAGAAGCCAUGAACUUCAAAGCUCAUGAGAAUACCAUCAUGUCUUUGGCUCUGCAUUCGAGUUUUUCUUUCGUGCUAUCAGCAUCUGACGAUCACCUGAUCAAGCUUUGGGACUGGGACAAGCGCUGGGAAUGUAUGCGGACAUUUAGUGGACACUAUGACAGAGUCACACAAGUGAUGUUUGACCCGCGGUCGAGUAAUGAGUUUCUAAGUGCUUCCAUGGAUGGCAGUGUCAAGGUUUUCUUUUCUCUUAUAUGAAUUCGCCCUANNNNNNNNNNNNNNNNNNNNNNNNNNNNNNNNNNNNNNNNNNNNNNNNNNNNNNNNNNNNNNNNNNNNNNNNNNNNNNNNNNNNNNNNNNNNNNNNNNNNUACAGUUGUAUCUGAAACUUGACAAGUGUGUUUUCAAUUCAUUCUUCAGUUUUUUUUUUGAAAUCGCACCAUGUAGGAAGAAGAGACCAGAAGGGGUUGGGGUUGGGCAUGGGGUGGGGUGGGGUUUGUGGGGACGAAAUCACUCUGAAUAUUCUUAACAAGAAGCAAUGCGAAACUCAUGUUUAUUUGAUCCAGGAAGUAGCCGGCAAUGAUAAUUCUGCCACAGAACUUUGAACCCUAGCCGAAGCACGCACUACUGGGUUAUUGUAUAGUGGUUGCGCUAUGUACGAUUAUAAGAUUAUUUUGGACUGUAUAAGAUUAUUUUGGACUGUAUUCAUACUUAAUGACCUUGCAUUCUACAGGACUGCUAUUGUUGUCUAUCAGUUAUUCUAUCGAAUGGUGCUCGGAACAACUUUCAAUGCAGGGUCCAUAAUAAAGUUCUUGUCAGAAGUUUCACUUGGAGCGUAUGUGAAUAGUUUAUACUUUAUAAGCCCAAACCAGAUGAUCAAGAUCAUGCUACUAGUGCUAAUAAGUAUCUUCUUUGACCAGUGUUGCUCUGGGCCUUGCGUUUGGAAUUGCAUCUGUACUAUGGCUGGGCUUUAUUUUCAAUGAUACAAUCAUAGAGAUUUCACUUACCCUUGCUGUCAGCUAUAUUGCUUUCUACACUGUAAGAUAAUCAGAUAACGAACAUACCGAAGCUCCUAUAUUUCUAUUUUUUUUUCCUAUAAGGACGUGUUUGCUCAGUGUUUUGAAAUGGUCUGUAGUUCCAGUAAUAGAAUGAUUGUCAAGCAACCCUUUUUGCAACACUGGGAUGCUGUUUUACUGGUAAAAUGAAAUCCUUCUAGUCUUCUAGAUAAGCACAUAGCAAAGUCCUUGUGGGAUUUUCAAGUUGCGGAACUGGACAGAGCUUCAUAAAUUUCCUCAAAUAUAAUUAUAGGGUUUAAAAAAAAUUCCGGUUUUGAGGGUUCAUGUUGGAAUCAAAAUUAUAUUACUAUUUGUACUUCUGAUUCGAAUGCAACUAACUUUGAGGAGUUUUUGGUGAGCUAACUGAAUGUAUGUCAUGGAGAAAGAAACAUUGCCUAUUUUAGGAGCAGGAUUCUAGAUUUUUGAUAUACCAAGAAAUGGCUUGAUUGCCAUUCUGACCUAGAUCAAUCAGUUUAUUCUCUUUCCAGUUUCUGAACGUGUUUAGGGUUUUNUACCAUUAAACUGAAGUUAAUCCAUAAUGAAUUGUCAAUUUUGUUUAGGAUAAUAAAUAUCAAUAUUCAUUUAUUGGAACUUGUCAUUGCUUGUGCAUGAUUUCCCCCCCUCUCUCAUGUCUACUGCAAGUCUGCAAAACAAAUUUGAAUCACAAGUCUGAAUAUAGACUUACCAUUUAAGACAUGACACUGUUCAGUCCUCUAGUUUAUUGGGGGCUGCUUUCUAUUACUAACAUUGUUUGUAUCAGGCGC
rnacentral:lncRNA from 1 species